rnacentral:lncRNA from 1 species
UUCUGAUGGCUCUCUCCACGAAUGAAGAGGGGGUGGAGGGGUAUUUAUAGCCUCCACACAAAAUCCAACCAUUACACACAUUUGACCAAUGUCGGUCAGACCGAAGUUGACAACUCGGUGAGACCGAAAGUUCAAAUCAUGUGAACGUUGGGAUUUUCGGUGGGACCGAAAAUACAAACUCGGUGAGUCCGAUUCGUCCAAAGACAAGAGCUUGCCAAUCUCGGUGGGACCGACUUCAUCAUCUCGGUGACACCGAUUUGAUGACAGAAGGUUACAGAAGCUUGACAACUCAAGUUUCGGUGAGACCGAGUUCAGAAUCGGAAAAUCCGAGAUUUCUAGGGUUUGGCUAUAUGGCUGAGGUGGUUCAUCUCGGUGUGACUGAGUUUAGGAAAUCGGUGGGACCGAGAUUACUUAUGAGUGUAUUAUGGAAGUGAGAGUUGCUGAUAGUUUAGGAGAUGUAUCACUAAGCACUUUGAGCAACCAGAUCAUUAUCAUAACCUCAUCCCCUUUUAAUAGUAUUGGCUUUCCUAUAGACUCAAUGUGAUCUUGGAUCACUAAACCAAAAAUGGAGUCUUGAGCUUUUGCCAAUGCUUGCCUUAGCAUUUUGAGGGGUCCACUUCUUCAGUCCUUGCCAUACCCAUAUCACUGAACUUUCUGAAAUGAUUCUCAAGAAACUAUUAGUUCAAUGAUAUAUAUGUUGUUAUUAAUUACCAAAACCACCCGGGGAUUAGUUGCACUUUCAAUCUCCCCCUUUUUGGUAAUUGAUGACAACAUAUAGAUCAAAGCUUCGACAAAGGAUAUAAUCAAUUAAUAAUAUCGUCGCUUUGAGAAGUAUGUGAUAAGCAAGAGCUCCCCCUAAAUUUGUGCAUUAUUUAAGAUUUGCGUUUGAAUGCAAAUGCACAAUCGAUUAGGAUCAUGGGUCACUCUUCCAUGUCACAUACAUCUUGGUGGAGCGCACAAAAUGAUAAGAAUGAAUAGCAUGCACCCAAUCACCAAGACAUGAGUAAAUGGUCAUACAAGAUAGGAAUAGCAUAUGAUAAGCAUUAAGCACACAUUAAGGCAUAGUACGACCAAGCACUCAUCAAACGUAGUAUCAAACACACAGAAUGUCACGAAAACCAAAAGCAUCUCAAAAAGACCGCAAAUGAACGAAAGAGCAAAAGCGCAAAAACAACAGCACUCUCUCUCUCGAAGUCCUAUGAUCUAUACAAUUUCUCCCCCUUUGGCAACAAGUUACCAAAAAGUUCAAAAAGUAUAGAGCUAAACGUCACUAGGGACUCUGCUGGCGGCUCCUGUCUGGGUUGAUGUUGGAGUUGAGAUGGUUGCAUCGGAGAAGACUUCUGCUGAUGUCUGUGGAGCUGGAGGAGUGGUCACUGGAGCUGGAGCUGGAGCAACUGAUGGAGCUGUGGGAGGUGCUGAGGUUGUAGUCCUGGUGUCUGUCACUGGAAUAGCAGCUGAUCGGGGUCCUGUGGGAACCGGAGCAGUCUGUUCAUAAGCAUCCUGGACUAGGUCAUCCUGCAUCUCACGCAUGAGCUCUUCCUUCUCCCUCUUUGCUUCCUCGAUAUCUGCCUCAAGCUUGUUGACAGUUACUUGCACUUCAGUCAGCUUCACAUCCAGAGCAUGGAUCUGGUCUUCAACAAUCCUCUCAAGGCUCUCCUGAGACUGUACAAUGCUGGCCAGGCGUUAUUCAAUCCUUUGGGUAGCUUCAAGGAGCUGUUCUCCAACACUCUUCGGUUUAGCUGCUGCUGCUGCUGCUUCCUUCUCAGCUUUGGCUUUCUUGGCAGCUUCAAUCUUUGCUUGACCUUCAACAGAAGUUGGAUCCUCCUCAUCCAUCACAACAUCAUUGUCCUCAUGCUCAGGCUGCAGUGGUAGGUGUUCUCUAUCCAACAAGAAUGUGCCCGUGCCAAACUUGGCAUUGAUAAGCAUCUGAAUAUGCGGGGCAAAUCCACACGACCUUUUCUGGUCAGCUGCAGUCCUCUUAAUAGUCUCAACUAUCAAGUCCAUCACCUUGAAAGGUGCCUUCUCAUCAAGUAUAUGCAGCAUGUUGAUAGAGUACCCUCUGAUCAUUCGAUGAUCUCCAGACUUGGGCAUCAAGGUAUGCCUCAGAAUAGUGUUUGUGGUAGGUAGACCUGCCUGGAGAUAAUACACUGAGCCGAGCUUCCAGAUUGCUAAAUCCUUAGCUGGAACCUCCUUGUACAUAUUCUUCAUAGAUUCAUGGUUCUUCUUGGGAAUGCCAUAGACAUCAACAUCAUCCUCUCUCUGUACUGGAGCAUUCAGCAGUUCUGCCCAUUCUUCUACAGUUCAAGAGAAUCUUUGGCCUUCAGUCAUCCAUGUGAUCUUUCCAUCUGGAUAGAAAUGAGCUGUGGCAUAGAAUUGCAUAAUCAUUUCAUCAUUCCAACUUGUCAGCUUUUGACCUACGAAGUCUGCAACACCACAUGCAGUGAAGCUCUCAUGCACAUGUGGAAAGAAGUCUCUGUGCUCUUCACUGUCAAUGUAUUUCCAAUCAACAAAUCAGGUGUCUGCAACUAUUGGCUUCUUGUCCAUUAGCACAGUCUCAUAGAAGUCCUGCUGCUCUCUUGUGUGGAAUCUUGGAUCAACAGCAGUUCUUCUCCUCACAGCAUAUGGAUCAGCUUGUCUCCAUAGCCUGAGACCUCUAUCCUUCCUUUCCUUCAUGUUUUCAGCUUGAGGAUGAGCAUCAUUGUGAAGUGGCAGUUUUGGACGAAGUUUCAGCAAAACUGGUGCCUCAUCAUCUGACACAGAUGGUGGCACAUCAUCUUUCUUCUUCUCUGAUGCUGGGAUGUUCCUGACAGUCUUCUUUGGCUUGGCAGCAGGCUUUGCUGGAGCUGCCUUAGCUGGAGCAGAUUGCUUGGACUUUGAAGUGGCUCCAGCCCUGAUGGCAUCACCCAUGAGCUUAGGCUUCUGAGGAGGCUGGGGUGCUUCCUCAUCCUCAUCUUCCUCUGCUGCAUCAUCAUGCACAAUCCUCUUCCUCUUGGAAGUUUUCUUCACUUUGCUUGCAGUUGCCUCUCCCAAAUUCAGCUUCUUAGCAACAGUUGACUGCUUGACUUUGCUGGUGCCUUUCUUGGUUUGCUUCCCUUGAGGCUCUUUGGAAACAACCUUUCUCUUUGGCUUGGAGGAGACCUCUUCCUCAACAAUGAAAUCAGAAUCUUCUUCAUCAGAGUUCCUCUUCUUUCUGGCCCUGGUGGCUGCAGGAGGCAAACCACUUGGUGUGCUCCUCUUACCAUCAUCUGAUGAGCUGCUGGGUUCAGGACUAGUGCCUGCCUCUGGAAUAUCAGCAAUAGGUGACUCAGACCUGUUCUGGCUGUCACUGGCAUCUGACAUGGCUGACAACCUGUGAAUAGAUAAGGUGUAGGCAGAGUAGAAGAGUUAUCACAAACUGCAGAAGAUUUUGCAAACAAAUGAGUUCAAAUUUCAGUUUUAGGUUUUCACAGAAGACAUUUCGGUCAGACCGAGUUUAAAAUUCGGUGAAUCCGAAGUGUUCAAACAAAACCAUUUACACCACUUUCGGUUGGACCGAAGUGGGUUUUGGUCCUGCCGAAAACACUAGGGUUUCACUAAAUCCUCAUUUCGGUCACACCGAUUUGCACAACUCGGUUGGACCGAAAGGUGCAGUGCAAUGGCCAGAGGCCAAAUCGGUCAUACCGAGAAUGUAAAAUCGGUCUCACCGAGAUGUGUUCGGCGGAAACCUAACCCUAAAACUUUUACUCGAAUUUCGUUCAAAGGAACUAAUCUUGUGUUCAGGAAGAUUUCAAUCGUGGCAAGAUUACAGGCAAACCAAACGUGCAUUGAAUCGGAGAUGAGAGCACGAGUGGGAUCGAAACUCACCCUAACUUGGUGGAGUUCCUCUACGGCGGCAACGGCGCGGAGAGAAUGUCCGUUGACGGCGACGGAGACCUGCGGCGAGGGCGCACAGGCGACGACGGAGAUGAUCCGGAGACCAGGCGACGGCAGCAAGGGGUGUGGGGGCGAAGCGUUUUGAAGUAGAAAUCAACGCGCGGCCCUCGGAGUAUAUAUACCCCCUUGCUGUCGGUGGGACCAAGUUGUAAAACUCGGUGGCACCAAGAUGGACAACUGCAGGGCAGUUAUGCACUUCGGUCACGCCGAAAUUCACAACUCGGUUUCACCGAGGUGAAAACCUAGAUCAAUCCAAAUGCUUUCAGUUUGACCGAGUUUGAGUGGGUUGGUCUGACCGAAAUCACUUAGAAGGUUUUGAAAGUUAGCCCUUGACGGAUCGGUGGCUCCGAGUGCUCCUCACUCGGAGGGUCCAAAAAUGACUUGUUCAAAGUUUGUGAUGUAAGCAUGAAUAGAAUUUGAGACAAGAAAGCAUAGAUAGCUAGGGGAGGUACUUAGGCAUUCUUGUCCAUCCAUUUGGUCAGAAAAAUCAAAAAGACCAAAGCAACAAAUGGAUGUCUUCGAAUGGAUAAAAUUAUGCAUCCAACAUGCUCACACAAUAAGAUAGCAAAUGAAAUAUGUGUCAAACAUGCACAAUUAAAAUUCUAGCUACUAUCACACAAUUUGUCGAUGACUAGGUCAUCUAUAUAUGAGUAUAUUGACUUAGGAGUCAAAUGAGAGCAUUUGAUCAUAGGUCAUACUCAUCGUUUAAGCACAAGUGGGGUUACCACUUUUACAUAAAGCAUUGAUGUGUUCACAUCAUUUGAAGAUGCUUUAGCUCAAUUCUUUAGAGCAAAGCUCCCCCUAGAUGUGAGAACCCCUUUUAAAGGGUCAAACUAACCUUGGGUUGUCGUAGAAGACUUCAUGUAGAUGUUGAAGAUGUGGAUGCUCAAUGUUGAUGAAGAUCAUCAAGAGUUGGGAGCAAUCCUUUGGAUUCGGGCACUUUCAAUACCUACAUGGGUUAGUCCCACAAGGAACAAACAAGGAUAUCCAUGGACAUAGAUUGAAGUACACAAUAGAUGAUGUCCAUGAAAGCAAUGAUUACCUUGUCCCUUGACUUACCAACAAGAGGGUUUGUGACUCCAUGAACUAGUGCAAGAUGUGGAAGUUGAUUGCACGAGUUCUUGCCAAAAUGAAUGUGAGUGAAGUAUGUUGGCGGAGUCACCCUCAAGAACUCUCUAGUUCUUCUUCUUCGGGAUCCACAUCAUCUUGAUGGGAAUCCUUGGGGUUGUAGUUGAGCUUGACGAAGUAGAACUUGACGUUUCCUUGGGAACCCACUUGACCAUGGCUUUAGGUGCUUCAAUAAAUGCAUCAAUCUCCUCUUGAAGCUUGUCCUUGCCUUUUAGCUUGUGGUCUUGUGGUGGAAGAUCAUCUUGAGCUUGUUCCACAUUGAAAGAAGUAGGAUCGUACUUCUCCUUUUGAGAAACAAACUUUGGAGUGGGAUAUUGACCUUCUUCCCAUUCAACACCCUCGGCGUUGAACUUUCGCUCAAAACCAAUUCCUUGAUUCUUCCGGUGCCUUCCUUGCUUGCGAACAAUUUCCUCGAAGUUCUUGCUUCCGGCAAGGCUCCUGUAGACACCUUUCUCUAUAAUCCCUUUCAAUAAACUAUUUUCUUGCUCAAGUGUAACUUGGCUUGAAACAUUGUUAGUGGAAUCAAGAGAACUACUAGAACCAAUAUUGUUGCUUCGAGAUGAAGAAUUUUUCUUAUGCUUGUCAUGCUUAGUUUUAAUAGGUGGCAAGAAAUUAGACAAGAGAAGUCAUUUGGCAAGAUAUGAAGAACUCUUCUUUCGAAGAUCGUCAUUGAUUGCUUUUAGGAACUCAUGUUCUUGCUCUAGAUUGAGCUUCUCGAAGCGUAGCUUCUCAUGAGAUCUUAGGAGUUCUCUAUGAUCUUCUUGAGUUGUUUCAUGAGCUAACUUAAGAGUGUUUAGUUCUUUAGUUAGACGCUCAAUCUCCUUCAUAGCAUUGUCAUUCGACUCUUCUCGACUAUAAAGACUACUAGCAUGUUCAUCAUUACUAGGCUCACUAGAUUUAUCAUGUAAAAGCUCAUCUUCACCAAGCAAGUCAUCCUCAUCACUAUCAAAGUCAAUGAAUUCAGGGUGUGAUACCUUGGGGCCUUUAGCCAUGAAGCAUCUUCCAAUUCCCUCAUUUGGUGAAUCAAAUAAGUCAUAGGAGUUGGAGUUGGAGGACAUGAGAGCAAGACCGGCAACACCUUCAUCUUGACUGUAGUCGGAGUUGGAGUGAUAGCUUCUUUCGGAAUGAUUGUCGGAGUCGGAGCCGGAGACCCAUUCACCUACAUGAGCUUGAUGUUUUCUUAUUGUGUAGCUCCUUGAUGACUUGUCUUUCCUCUCCGAAUCCUUGCUUCUCCGAGAGGGUCUUCGUUCAUAACGAUCAUCUCUACCCCUUCUCUCUUUUCGAGGUGACUCUUCUCUUGAGCUUCUUCUUCUUGGAGAUUCUUCUCUUCUCUUGUGGGGAGCCGAACACUCAUUUGAGUAGUGUCCGGGUCUUCCACAAUUGUAGCAGUUUCGAUCACGACUAGAAGAUCUCUUUUCAUCAUAUGAUCUAGACUUUGAGCUUCUCUCUUUGCUUCUACUCUUGUAGAAUUUGUUGAAGUUCUUCACCAUUAGGCUUAUCUCUUCAUUGGAAACUAGCUUGUCACGUGAGGUUGUGGGAGCAUCACUUGUAGCUUUGUAAGCACCACUUGACUUGUUGUGAAGCUCUUCCUUAUCUUUAAGUGUCAUCUCAUGAGCAACAAUUCUUCCAAUGACUUCGGUUGGCUUGAGAUUCUUGUAGUUUGGCAUCAUUUGGAUCAAAGUGCACACGGUGUCAUACUUUCCAUCCAAAGCUCUGAGAAUCUUCUUGAUAAUGAAUCGGUCGGUCAUUUCUUCGCUUCCUAAGCCGGCAAUCUCAUUUGUGAUGAGAGCAAGCCUAGAGUACAUUUCAGCGACUCCUUCACCUUCCUUCAUCUUGAACUUGUCAAGUUGACCUUGAAGAACAUCUAGCUUUGAUUCCUUCACGGACUCGGUACCUUCGUGCAUUUCGACCAAAGUAUCCCAAAUCUCUUUUGCAUUCUCAAGACGGCUGAUUUUGUUGAACUCCUCGGGACACAAAGCAUUGAAGAGAAUGUCACAAGCUUGAGCAUUGUUUUGCAACAUCCGCAAUUCAUCCGUUGUAGCUUCGCGAUCCGGAACUUUUCUUCCUCGAAGAACUCACCUUGCAAACCAACACAAAUAAUGCCCCAUGCGGCUGGGUUAUGGCCAAGAAUAUGCAUUUUCAUUUUAUGCUUCCAACUAGCAAAGUUUGAACCAUCAAAGUAAGGACCUCUACGAAAAUUACCCUCACUAGACGCCAUACUCUCCUAGGUUGUGAAACCAAGCUUAUGGAGUCCAAUGCAAUGGAAACCAAUACAAUGGAGACCAAAGCUCUGAUACCACUUGUAGGAUCGAAAGUAUGUCUAGAGGGGGGGUGAUUAGACUACUUGACAAUAUAAAAAUUCAGCCUUUUGAUAAAGACAAGUUUUUGGCAAGUUCACAAUGAUGAUCAAGUCAAGUAUCACCCUACACAUGCAAUUCUAGAGUAUAGGCAGCGGAAAGUAAAUUGCACAUGUAGUAAAGAGAGGUGGAGAAGAGCAAACGCAAUUUGGAGACACAGAGAUUUUUUCUCGUGGUUCCGAGGUGGUGCUAUCGUCAAUCCACGUUGAUGGAGACUUCAACCCACGGAGGGUAACGGCUGCGAGAGUCCACGGAGGGCUCCACCCACGAAGGGUCCACGAAGAAGCAACCUUGUCUAUGCCAUCAUGGCCUACGCCCACGGAGGGCUAGCCUUACUCGGGGUAGAUCUUCACGAAGUAGGCGAUCUCCUUGCCCUUACAAACUUCUUGGUUCAACUCCACAUCUCGACGGAGGCUCCCAAGCGACACCUAACCAAUCUAGGAGGCACCACCCUCCAAAAGGUAAUAGAUGGUGUUGAUGAUGAUGAACUCCUUGCUCUUGUGCUUCAAAUGAUAAUCUCCCCAACACUCAACUCUCCUCACUGAUUUGGCUGUGGUGGAAGAAAGGAUUGAGUGGAAAGCAACUUGGGAAGGCUAGAGAUCAAGUUUCAUAUGGUGGGAGUGGAGCUACUUGAUCUCAACACAAGGGUAGGUAGUUUUCUUCUCAGAAAUGUAAGGUAGGAGUGGUAGUACUUUCUGAUGGCUCUCUCCACGAAUGAAGAGGGGGUGGAGGGGUAUUUAUAGCCUCCACACAAAAUACAACCGUUACACACAUUUGACCAAUCUCGGUCAGACCGAAGUUGACAACUCGGUGAGACCGAAAGUUCAAAUCAUGUGAACGUUGGGAUUUUCGGUGGGACCGAAAAUACAAACUCGGUGAGUCCAAUUCGUCCAAAGACAAGAGCUUGCCAAUCUCGGUGGGACCAACUUCAUCAUCUCGGUGACACCGAUUUGAUGACAUAAGGUUACAGAAGCUUGGCAACUCAAGUUUCGGUGAGACCGAGUUCAGAAUCGGAAAAUCCGAGAUUUCUAGGGUUUGGCUAUAUGGCUGAGGUGGUUCAUCUCGGUGUGACUGAGUUUAGGAAAUCGGUGGGACCGAGAUUACUUAUGAGUGUAUUAUGGAAGUGAGAGUUGCUGAUAGUUUAGGAGAUGUAUCACUAAGCACUUUGAGCAACCAGAUCAUUAUCAUAACCUCAUCCCCUUUUAAUAGUAUUGGCUUUCCUAUAGACUCAAUGUGAUCUUGGAUCACUAAACCAAAAAUGGAGUCUUGAGCUUUUGCCAAUGCUUGCCUUAGCAUUUUGAGGGGUCCACUUCUUCAGUCCUUGCCAUACCCAUAUCACUGAACUUUCUGAAAUGAUUCUCAAGAAACUAUUAGUUCAAUGAUAUAUAUGUUGUUAUUAAUUACCAAAACCACCCGGGGAUUAGUUGCACUUUCAGGCUGCUAGCUCCGGCGCCUUACGUGGUGCCAGAGAAGAAGGUCAGGAAGAAGGCCACGGGAACCCAAAAGAGUUCCCGACAUCAGGUGUUAUCGGACUCAUCAUCCGAUGACUCCAAGGCAGACUCCUCCCGCGAAGACGAGGAGGAGAAAAAAGAGGCUUCUCCCCCAGCGGGGGGUGAGAAGAAAAGGAAGGCUGCCCCAACGGGGGAGGCUGAAGGGUCCAAGAAGGGAAGGACCCUCCCUCCAGACUACUCCACCAUUGCCGACGACGAUGAAGAGGAGUGGCCACCAAGGACUAAGCCCCUGGCGACUUCGUAAGUGUCCAUAUACCAGUAUAACUCAUGGUGUUUCAUUUGUCGCAUAGAAUCUUCUAACACCGAAUACAAGCCUGCAGCCCGCCCAAGGACGGGCUCGACAUUUCAACGAGCGACUCCCUGGCUCCGUCGGACAUGAAUAGCACUUCACUUCUGGCCGCCUCCUCUCCUCGCGCUGCUGAUGACGCUGAGGUGGGGUCCCAAAAGGGGCCCAGCCAGGAGGAGGAGGUCCCGGAGGUGUCGCAAGGCAACCUCCCGGACUUUGGGCAUAAGGGGGAUCAAACCCCAAGGGGUUCUAAGUCCGGCCCUGGGCCGGACUCCGCACCGGAACCUUCAUUGGUUCUGGAGUCCUGCAGGCGGCCCCUUCAUAAGAAGGGCGAGACUGCGACACCGGUGGCCUCCGUCCAGCCGGAGGCACCGGAUAAUUUGCUGGAGGCGCUCAACGGCGCCUCCAUCGACGAGGAGCACCACAAUUUUAUGAGUGCGGUGAUCCAGAAAGUUCAGUACGCCAAGAGCGGGCUGACUGAGGCCUGUACCAGCCUUCUAAUAGGCUUUGAGGUAUGUAUUUAAGAUAUGUAAAAAUAUUACCGCAUAGAUUGUAGCACCUGAUGCUCAGUUUGGUGUUUGGAAAGAAAAGCCGAACUGAGGAUCUAAAAAGAUAUACGCAGGAGUCUAACAUAAGCAUGUCAAUACGGGAAUGCAGGCUGCGCUGCUGACCUCUGCCGCAUUGACUGCAGAGGUCGAUGCAUUGAAGAGAGCCUCGAGCAGUCUGAGAACGAGCCCGGCCUUGCCAAGAAGCAGCUCGAGGACAAGGAAGGUAAGUAAUACCUUAUUAAAGUAAUAACUUAUAGAAAGGAUUUGGUUGCAAAAACUGACAGGAAUAACGUGAGUAUUGCAGGUGCCACGAACGAGGUGGCGACCCUGAAGGAAGCGGUGUCCAAGGCCGAAAACAGUGCGGCCGCGAAACGCACCGAGCUAGAGAGGCAGGAGGCGCGGGUGGCGGAGGUGCGGCAAGAGCUCCAGGCUCUCGUGGAAAAACACGAGAGUUUGGAGCGUGACUCGAAGACUCGAGAGUCCGAGCUCGCCUCCGCUCUUGAGAGCGCCAAAGCCACUAAGGCCGAAGCCCAAAAAGCCCUCCAGGAAAUUGAGGCAAUAAAGAACAUAGCGGCGGGUAAGGCAUUCUUCAUGCAAAGCAAGCACGUGAAAGUGAAUUACUGGUUACUUACCCGAAUCCGGAGCUCUCUAGGAGCAUUCACAGAUCUGCCCCGCAGUGUGUCCGCCUACGCCACAUUCUACUGGGCUGAGGAAGGGAGCUCGACGGAGAAGGUGUUCUGGUCUCAGUAUGUUGAGGCCGGACACCCUGUGCCCCUGAGCGACCAGCUGAAGCAGCUGGUCGAGCUCCAUAAGGUGGCCGAACAUGCCAUGAAGGUCCUCAUAGUUCGGCUGUGGCCCGAGGAAACCAUGCCUGGGAGCUACUUCGGGCUGGUGAGGCGGCUGGUGGACACAUGUCCAUGAAUUGAAGUCGUUAAGCGCUCCGUCUGCAUCGAAGGUGCCCGUAGGGCCCUUGCCCGUGCUAAAGUGCACUGGGGCAAGAUGGACGCUGAGAAGCUUGUGACGGAUGCUCCACCGCCGGGCAGGGAGUAUCGCAAGCCCGAGAUGUAUUAUGAGAACGUCCUGAAGGGUGCCCGCCUUAUAGCGGGUGAAUGCUCCAAAGAUGUAAUUUUUGAGUAGACUCGCAUUUGUUAUCCUGUACGCUUGAAAACUUUGUUCAUGUGCGCUAAGCAACGCUUGUUAAUUUAAAAUAUUACCUUCUGUGCGGCCGUUUAUCAAAUUUGAGAGAUGGCGAGUCGUUGGCUUCAGCCCCCAUGCCACGAGUGCUGGGGUGUUCGGGAUAAACUUGAGCGCUCUUGUUCCCAUUCUUGGGUCCUUCGAGGGAGGCGUUCAACACGACGAACGAGGCAACCGGACUAUAAUGCUUGAACACUCUCACUUAGCCAUAGAAUUCUAUAAUUUUAAAUUUUGGCGAAGCCCCUGGUAUUCGGAAGACCGAGUUUGGGGCGCUAUCCACGCCUUGGCCGGACAAUGCUGACUCCUCACUCUAAGUAGCAUGAGUCUUUAGGGGCCCAAAAAACCAAUCGAACAGCGACCGGCUCUCGCCCUAUCAUGACAGUCAGUUUUAGCUUUCUCUGCUGAGGUGCUUAACCCAGCUCAACCGGGGCACAAUCGUAGUGGUUCUCCCAGCGCAACCUUAGCCGAUAUAACGGAACGUAAGGUACCAAAACAUGGGAGCCGGGCAAACCCAACUAUUGACCCAAGACAUGAUUCGGAGCCGAUGCAUAUAAUGCUAUAAGUUCAGGGUGCCGCACUUGUGAAAGUGUUCGGACUUAUCACACCAUGUUUUGGGGUACUUAAGCCCCUGGUGUAUUAACUGUACCAAGUUGUACGGGUGCAACAUGUCAUAGAUGAACAUUUAUGGAAGAAAAAAAAGGAAUGCAAUAAUAAGAAGAAGCUAUGUAUUGUUUAUUCAAAAGAUACUGCAAUGAAAGCAGAACGAUACAAAUAGUGCGAUAAGCAAGGGUUGGGACUAUUUAACAUGUCCACCUCCAGGGGUAGGCUGCGGGAUGGUAUGUAAAACAGGUAUACUGCUCGUAAUAGAGACCACCUGGAUACUCGACGUAGCUUUUCUGCUUCCCUGGCUAUUGCAUCUUGAGUUUGGCGAUUCUACCGCCGGACAGGGCUUCUGGAAAACGGAGUCCUGAGAAUAAGAAAAAAAGAAUGAGACAAUUGGGAGACCCUGGUGCAGUUGAGCCGCACUCUAGGCAUGCCGUGGUCGUGCCCCUCCCCCUAUGCCCAUGGUAUCUCCAGAGUGUAGUUAUGUAUGCGUGGUACUGGUCUCGCGAUUUUGCGAGGGCUGGGGUUGGGGCCGCAUUGCUACGCGUGCUCGGAACGUGCCAGGCGGUAUUGUUGUAGGUUACUCCGGGCGCGCUUGAUGGUGUCCGGACGUUUAGUAGUCGGACUUGAGAAUUGCCUUAAGAGGCUGCUUUGUACUUCCUCCGCGAGGGCCGCCGUAUGCUCCUCCGUUCGGAGAGAGCGUUCGGUGUUUCCAUUGACCGUGAUUACUCCUCAGGGCCUGACAUCUUGAGCUUGAGGUAUGCGUAGUGCGGCACCGCAUUGAAAUUUGCAAAUGCGGUUCGUCCGAGCAGUGCGUGAUAGCCGCUGUGGAACGGGACUAUGUCGAAGAUUAAUUCCUCGCUUCGGAAGUUAUCCGGGGAUCCGAAGACCACUUCGAGUGUAACUAAGCCUGUACAGUUGGCCUCUACACCUGGUAUGACGCCUUUAAAGGUCUUUUUUGUGGGUUUAAUCCUUGAGGGGUCUAUGCCCAUUUUGCGCACUUUAUCCUGGUAAAGCAGGUUCAGGCUGCUGCCGCCGUCCAUCAUGACUCUAGUGAGGUGAAAUCCGUCAAUGAUUGGGUCAAGAACCAAUGCAGCGAAUCCGCCGUGGCGGACGCUAGUGGGGUGGUCCCUUCGAUCAAAAGUGAUCGGGCAGGAGGACCAUGGGUUGAACUUUGGGGCGACUGGCUCCAUCGCGUAUACGUCCCUUAGUGCACGCUUCCGCUCCCUUUUGGGUAUGUGGGUUGCGUAUAUCAUGUUCACCGUCCGCACUUGUGGGGAAAAGCCCUUCUGUCCUCUAUUGUUCGGCGGACGGGGCUCCUCCUCGUCAUCGCUAUGCAGCCCCUUGUCGUUGUUUUUGGCAUUUAACUUGCCUGCCUGCUUGAACACCCAACAAUCCCUGUAGGUGUGGUUGGCUGGUUCUUCGGGAGUGCCAUGUAUCUGGCACGAGCGAUCGAGUAUUCGGUCCAGAUUGGACGGGCCCUGAGUAUUUCUUUUGAACGGCUUUUUCCGCUGACCGGGUUUAGAGCCUCUGAAUCCGUCAUUGACUUUCGUAUCUUCAGCAUUAUCGCCGUUAAUGCAGCGCUUGUGCUUGUUGUGACGUGACCUGCCAUUGCUGUCCUUGGUAUCCGAACUACCAGGGUUUUUGGUCAGGUUGUUACUGUGAGCUAGCCAGGUGUCCUCUCCCGCGCAGAAGCGGGUCAUGAGUGAUGUGAGGGCUGCCAUGGAUUUCGGCUUUUCCUGUCCUAGGUGCCAGGCAAGCCACUCGCCGCGGAUGUUAUGUUUGAAGGCUACAAGGGCCUCUGCAUCCGGACAGUCAACGAUUUGAUUUUUCUUGGUUAAGAACCAUGUCCAGAAUUGUCUGGCCGAUUCAUCUGGCUGCUGAAUUAUGUGGCUUAGGUCAUCAGUGUCUGGUGGUCGCACAUAUGUGCCCUGGAAGUUAUCAGCGGCUUCCAGGUCUUCCCAACAACCAAUUGAUUCUGCUCGCAAGCUGUUGAGCCAAUGCCGAGCUGGUCCUUUAAGCUUGAGUGGGAGGUAUUUGAUGGCGUGUAGAUCAUCACCGCGGGCCAUGUGGAUGUGAAGGAGAUAGUCCUCAAUCCAAACCGCAGGAUCUGUUGUGCCGUCGUAUGAUUCAAUGUUUACGGGUUUGAAACCCUCGGGGAUUUGAUGAGCCAUUACUUUGUCUGUGAAGCAUAGUGGGUGUGCGGCGCCUCUGUAUUGGGCUAUAUCACGACACAGCUCAAAUGAGCUUUGUCUACUGUGUUCGGCCCGACCGGAAUUGUUGUAUCCGGCAUGACGGUUGUCAUCACGUAUCGUGGGGCGCCCACGCGAUCUGUAGAUCGAUCUUAUUUUUCUUGCCUUGUCCUCCAAUAUGUCUCGCAAGUCUGGCACAUUCCCCCGUGGCUUUAUACUUUUCGAGCGAUGCCGGGGUGUGGGUUUAGUGGAGGGCCUAGAGGUCUCUCUGUCACGGCCACGAGGUGGCCAGUCGGCCGCGUCAUGCGCUGGUGAUGUAGGUUUGGGUGCUUCCUCCUCUAAUUGGGGUAGUAGCCUGCGUUUUGGGUAGCUCUUGGAGGGGCGAUCGAGUUUGUACUCUUCGGCUGCAAGGACUUCGGUCCAUCUGUCCGCUAGCAAGUCUUGGUGAGCUCUAAGCUGCUGCUGCUUUUUCUUGAGGCUGCUUGCCGUGGCCAUAAGCCUGCACUUGAAACACUCUUGUUCGACGGGAUCCUCGGGCACGACAAAUUCGUCGUCGUCGAGGCUUGCUUCAUCUUCGGAGGGAGGCAUAUAAUUAUCGUCCUCUACCUCUCUGUCUGCCUCUCUAUCAUGAGGGCUGGCUUCUCCCUCCUCCUGUGUUGUAUCCUGCUGGAGGGGGUUGUCUUUGGCACUGUCCGGGGUGUUAUUAUCUCCUGUGCCGGAAUCACCGUUUUUGCUGUGGCGGGAUUUAGAGCGGUGCCGCUGACGCCGGCACUUGGGCUAUUUCUUGGAAGGGUCAUCCUCCACUGUCCAUUGCCAUUCCCAUCUUUUGGGAUGUCCACCAUGUAUAUGUCGUAUGACGAGGUGGCCUUGCAGUUCCCUAUAGGUGCUGGUUCUUGGUUGUCUCCUACAUCGUCGUCCAUACCGUCGAUGUCUUCGGAGUCGAAGUCGAGCAUGUCGGUUAAAUCAUCGACAGUGGCUACAAAGUGGGUGGUGGGUGGGCGUUGAAUUUCUUCGUCGUCCGCAUCCCAACCUUCCUGACCAUAGUCCGGCCAGGGCUCUCCUGAUAAAGAGAGAGACUUUAGUGAAUUCAGGAUGUCGCCAAAGGGCGAGUGCUGAAAGAUGUCCGCGGCAGUGAGCUCCAUAACCGGCGCCCAAUCGGAUUUGAUUGUAAGGGGCGCGGGAGGUUCGGACUCCGGAGAGGAGUCCUGCACCUCGGAGUCAUGGGCUUUGCAAAGGACAGGGAUGGUGUUCGGCUCAAUCGCCGUAGAGAUCGUAGCCCCCGAGGCGGUGUCCAGCCACUCGUCCUCGACCGGCGAAGUCGGCUCCGAGCUAAGGGUCGGAGCGGACGCUGAUGCGGCCUCCAGGGCACUGUUCGGCGGCGGAGCUAGAUCAUACCCAUCGAGACAGUGCGGCGCGCUUGGCUGUGGCUCGAAUCCGUCGAAGAUCAAGUCUCCGCGGAUGUCAGCCGUGUAGUUCAAACUCCCAAAUCUGACCUGAGAGCCAGGGGCGUAGCUUUCGAUCUGCUCCAGAUGGCCAAGUGAAUUGGCCCGCAGUGCAAAGCCGCCGAAUACGAAGAUCUGUCCAGGGAGAAAAGUCUCACCCUGGACCACGUCGUUGUUGAUGAUCGAAGGAGCCAUCGGGCCUAAAGGUGAUGACACAGAGGAACUCUCAAUGAAAGCACCAAUGUCGGUGUCAAAACUGGCGGAUCUCGGGUAGGGGGUCCCGAACUGUGCGUCUAGGCGGAUGGUAACAGGAGACAAGGGACACGAUGUUUUUACCCAGGUUCGGGCCCUCUCAGUGGAGGUAAAACCCUACUCCUGCUUGAUUAAUAUUGAUGAUAUGGGUAGUACAAGAGUAGAUCUACCACGAGAUCAAAGAGGCUAAACCCUAGAAGCUAGCCUAUGGUAUGAUUGUUGUUCGUCCUACGGACUAAAACCCUCCGGUUUAUAUAGACACCGGAGAGGGUUAGGGUUACACAGAGCCGGUUACAAUGGUAGGAGAUCUACAUAUCCGUAUUGCCAAGCUUGCUUUCCACGCCAAGGAAAGUCCCAUCCGGACACGGUACGAAGUCUUCAAUCUUGUAUCUUCAUACUCUAGGAGUCCGGCCAACGGUGAUAGUUCGGCUAUCCGGACACCCCCUAAUCCAGGACUCCCUCAGUGGUGGUGGUUGAUAAAGAAGUAAUCGUUCCUAAGUAGCCGAAACACCUUAGGAGACUCGAAUCACUACUCAAGUAACCACUAAUGCUAUGGGAACGAAAUGGGUUAAGUUGCGGAAGUCGGUGGUGGUAAUGCGGAUGAUAUGGUGGAGGGCCUAGGAAAACUUGCCAAAUUUUCGAAAUUUUGAUGGAUUCAAAUGGUAUUGAAACCUAUCUAGAUGGAUGGGGGAUGUCAAUAGCUUCUCAACGAGCUAAAGAACGCGAAAAUCGAACUCCGGAUGUGAAAGUUAUGGGCAAAAUGGUGAAACACGGGAGGCUGAUUUCCCAGGGGCCGGAUAUCCGGGGGUAGGGGCCGGAUUUCCGGGGUGUAUGUCCAGAACCGUGCAGAUUUAGCGCUCCAGGAGCCGGAUGUCCGGCCCGAUGAUUCCAAAUCUCGUUUGGGGCGGAAAUUUUUGAAUUGUGGGCGGAAAUUGAUGAUUCCAAGGGCAAAAUUAGAGAGAUUUCGUGGAUGGAAGGUGGGGAAACUUGGGGGAAAGCUAGAUCCACUCGAAAGUAAGCAAAUCCAUGGAUCAAUAUCAACAAAACAUCAUCAAACGAACAAAUGACAAAAAAAAUUGUGGCUAUUGUUGGUGGGGAUUUUUGAAAUUUAGGACAAAAUCAAGCAAAAGAGGGCUAGAAAAUGGUGGGAGGGACUCCAAAUACAUGAUAAACGUGGAUCAUGAUACCAUAUGAUACAGGGCUAACCCGGUGUAGGUCAAUCUUUCACGAUUGGAGUGGGAUCCCUCGAAGAACACGAGGAAGAACGGGGCAAAAUCACAAGGGGAAACCCUCAAGAACAAGUCCAAUCGCACAUCCACUAGACAAUCAAACACACAAGAUCCACAAGGUUACAAGAACAACAGAAGGAAAGAUAUAAGGUAGAGUUCAUCUCCAAGAGGAGAUCUUUAUGGUAUCCUAGAUGGAUCUUCCCGCGAGGGGGUCUUGAGGAUAUCCCGCAAGAUCAUCUCACAUGGACGUCUUGAACUCCAUGGGAGUGGUCUCUCUCUCUCUCUCUCAAGAGGAGGAGGUAGGAGCAAAGCUUACCCAAGAAUGAGCUAUCAUAUUUGCUAACCCUAGAAUGGAGGAGGGGGUGGUCGAUUUAUAGUCGAAGAUACGAAAGGGUAAGUGGGAAAGGGAUACAUGGGCCUCUAGCCCGACUAUGCGCGCAGGCAGGCGCCGGAUGUCCGGGCUGGGGGGGGCGGAUGUCCAGGCUCUCGUGAGACGCCGGAUGUCCGGGGCGGUUGGCCGGAUGUCCGGGCCGAGCGGGGUGGCCUUCUGUUGGCUCCUGUUGUCGAUGCCAGAUUUCUGGCAGAAGGCCGGAUGUCCGGGCCGUCGGGAGGCGCCGGACGUCCGGGGCUGACGCCGGAUGUCCGGGGCCUGUAGCACUUGGGCUGUUGGGCUACUGCUGUCGUUGACAUCUCCAGGGGCCGGAUGUCCGGGCCAGGGCCGGAUGUCCGGGUCCUGGGAGCUGUCUCCGUCUUCUUCCGUCGUCGCAUUCAGGCUUCCCUCGUGGAUGGUGUAGUUGUUCCUUGGCGCUUGCACUCCUCCUCUUUGACCAUAGUGUUCCGAUAAUACCUAUGCAUGCACACGAGAAAAGUGUCAAGUAGUACACCAUCCCCAAAGGGGUCAAGUGAACACGUGUAAAGGAGAAGAUUCACCUUUAUGUAUGAUAAGUAGAGGUCGCACGUGUCACUUGCCAAACAAACUCUUAACAUGGUGAUGUCCAUAGGAUGCUCCGCAUCAUCCCCUCUCCCUUGGAAAAGAUCCGACCUUGGAUCGGAAGCCAAAUCACCAUGGGAAAGAGAUGGCGUUGCCGUGUUGAUGCGGUCGAUCACCAAGCACUCAUCAUCUUGAAGAUCGAAAUAGGCACUCUCCAAUGUCGCACCGUCUAGUGAUUCCUUCAAAAGUGGCAAAGACAACAAACACUUGGAAAAACAAAUGUGGUUAGUGUUAGUGCAAAACCAAGCAUUCAAGAGGUGAUUCACCAAACAAGUGUUGUCAUCAUGCAAACCAUAUGGUUUGACAAAGGAUUGUGACCUGGCAUGUAAGCAUAUCAAUCGAGCACAAACAAAGAUAUCAUGGGGACAAGUAUGCCAAUGUGAGGUAGAGAUGCAAAUAUGUGUGAGAAGAGAAUAAGAAUCUACCUCGAGGUCAUAGAAAGCAUUCACAAAUUGCUCAAUGAAAGGUCUAUGGUAGGCAUGAGAAUCAUUCACAACACCAAAUAAAAUGAAGUGUCUAAACACAUGGGUCAAGUUCAAGACAAUCCAAGCAUACUGUGCAUAGGGUGUAGUGAAUAUAGUUUGGCACUCAACACAAUAGAAAGAGCAAUUGUUCAUCAUGUGUGAGGCAAUCAAGUGAAUCAUGUUACAAGCAAAGGGACAUGGCAUAUGUGAAGAAAUGAUAUUGGUGCAACCAACCAUAUGAUAGUAGCAAGUAGUCCAAGAAUUGGAUGCAACACACAAGGUAUAUAUGUCAUGAAGCAUGGAAAUGUGGCAAUCAUGGGUGAAAGCAAUAUCUUGAACAUGCAUGCAAAUGGUGCAAGAAACACAUGAAGUAUGAUCCACAAUAUCAAAGCUCAAGAAGGAUGUCACCUUGAAAGCAUGUCCUUAUGCAUUCUUCACAAUGCCGAAGUUGUAGGAAAUGUGGUGUAGAAUCGAGUUGUGGUAGAAUAUAUGAGGCUCGCUCUCAAGAUCUCGAAUGGUCAACACACGUGAAGUGGAAGUCGACACAAAGUCCAAGUGUCCUACACAUGCACACAACAAAACAAAGAAUGUAUGCGCAUGGUAGAUAAACACAUCAUCCAUCAUGAUGGUUUUCAUCUUUUGCGCAUAACCAUUAGAAGCAAAAGUGCAUGAAUAAUAUGAUGCAACAAUGGUGAUAUUCAUGGCACUAGGUAUAUGGUGCAAAGAAGUAAGACAAGCAUGCUUCACAAGGAAUAUGUCAAAAUCUCCAAACAAAUGUGAGUAUUCUAUGGGGGCAAUCUCAUGAGCAAGACUAUAAGCGUUGUUGCACUCAAUACAUGGCAAGUCAUCUAGCAUGAGAGAGGCAACACAUGGAGAUAUAUGACAAGAAGCAAUAUGAAUCAUGUGCAAAGCAUAUAGAUGGUUGUCAUCAACCGCAUGAAAUGAGCAAGUAUGAGUCAUUGGUGAUGCAACAUAAGCAAUCAUAGUAAUCAAGUCGUGCAAACUAGUGGAGCGAAGAUGCAACACACUAGAAGAAAUCAUGGAAAUCAUGUCAUGUGAUCAAAUAAUAGGCAUAGGGAAUGCACAUGACAUAUUGCAAGCAUGAACACAAAGUAAGAUGAAAGUAUCAUCAUAGGAAUGGUGCACAAAAGGAACAUGGCAAGAACAUGCAAUAUGUCCACCAAGCAUGCAAAUACACAUACAAGUACUAGAAUCAAUCAUCAUGUGUAAUGCAAAGUAUGGGUCACAAAUGCAUGUCAAAGGCAUAGGAAUGAGCAUAUCAUGCAAAGUGAACAUGGCAAGAUGGGCAUAUGAUAUGUAAUGGACAAUAACCCAUAGCAAAGUGAGGGCCAUGUAGAAGAAAUGCGUGAAGUCUUUGCGCGAAGAGAAUGGUGGGAAAGACGAUCCAUGGGAUCCCAAGUCAUCAUUACUCUCUAGAGCUCAUUUUGCCAACUCGUGGGAUUGCGAGGUUGACAAGUAUUCAUGGGUACAUACACAAAAGAGACACAAACCAAAGAAAUUGUGCAUGUGGUAAAUGUACACAUCAUCCAUCAUGAUGUGUAUGUUCACAUUAGAGUUAGCACAAUAUAAGCAUCGCUCAAAGAAAUUUGAUGCAUCGUAUAUGAACAUGUCAUCCAUCAUGAAAGAAUAGUUAUUAUGUAUGACAUGAUGGGGACACAAAUUGAGAAUGCAAGUAUAUGGAACAUCAAUAUCAUAUUUGUUCAUGGGGAGCAUGUGGUGCACACAAGUAUUUGGAUCAUGCAAUGAAUGGGAGGGAUCAAAUUCUCCUAACAUGUAUGAGGAAACUAUGGGGUCUCCUCAUGAGGAAUAUCGGAAACAUCAUAUGGAGAAAAUGGACAACAUCCAAAACAAUGCAUAUCCGAAGCUAGGUGGUCAUGGCAUGGCAUAUGAGAUAAAUGAUGCCAAGAGAGCAUAUUAAUAUCAUCACAAGAAAAACAAAUGCCAAUAACCAUGGGCUUGUCAUCUAUGCCAUAUGUGCAAAUUGGGUUUAUUUUAAUGGCAUAUGCAUAGUCAUUAUGAAGAGAUUGCAAAUAAGACAUAUGGUUGAUCUCAUGCGUAGCAUAUGACAAGUCAAGCGGAUGAUCAAACAUGAUGUGACCUAAAGAAUUGUCACAAGAAAUCCUAUGUAACAUGGCAUCACAACUAAGAGACUCCACAUGAGAAUCAUCAUACUCAUCAUAAAUGGGCAAAUCAUCACAUGGGGAAAUCAUACUAGAAUGAAGCAUGGUACUAGGUGGAUCAACAUCAUGCAAGCAAUCAAUGUCAAGAAUGUCCACUAGUGGGACUAGAGCAUCACCUUCACCUAUGUUACCUUUUUCAUUCCACUCAAGUCGUGUAGGUGAGGUGGGAAAGACCAAAUGGUGGUCAUCUUCAUCUUGAUGGAACCAUGUGUGGGGUGCAUCAUAUUCCACCAUGUCCAUCGUCUUGUACAAAGGGAGGACGAAGUCAUCGAGGAUCAGCGCGUCAUCAUAAAUGGGACCUAGCACCAAAUGAGAAGACACAAUAGAGGUAGAGGUCAAGUUGUUAGAAAUGCAAAUGACCUCAUGAGACCUAUCAACUAUCACACUCUCUCUAUGUGGUGGUUCACUCACUCCCUCAAAAUAGGUGCACUCAAAGUCACAUAUGGUGGAGUCACUCAUCUCACUCAAGUGGUGGGGGUUGUGGCUCUCCUCACAUGGGAAUUGUGGCAAUUCAUCAUAUGUGGGGCUAGUGGUGAACUCGCUCUCACUCUCAAUAUGGUGGCACAAGUCACUCAAGUCAUCAUACGUUGCCGUGGUCAAAGGUACAAUCCCAUGCUAAAGCAUCUCGUCGCCGUCGUCGUGGAUGAAGGCCGAAGAUGGCACAUCAUCACUCUCCUCCAUGACCAAAGGGAAAAUCCCAUGCUCGAUCAUCUCAUCACCGUCUCCAUGGAUGAAGGCCGAAGAUUGCACAUCAUCACUCUCGCGUCCAAAGAUGGAAACAUCAUCCUUGCUUGCCACCUUGUCGCUCGCCUCCAAAGCUUGGUCCUUGAGGGUCUCCGUAGUCAUACUCAUCGCUGCACCGUCUUGAAAAAGAGUCGAAGUAGACUCAGCCUCAUCAAUGCCACAAAGAGGGAUGGCGGUGAAGUCGAACUUGGGAGCAUCAUCUUGGAGCUCGUCGGGCUUGGACAUCGUGGUGGUACUAGCCUCAUGCUUGUCGUAGGGCUUGGUCGCCAUGAAGUGUGCUUGGGGUGGAGAAGCCUUGGCCUUCAUGAGUUCUUGUGCCGCCUUGAGAGCACCAAUGUAGUAGUCAUCGAGGGACUUGUAGUUCUCGAGGAAGAUAGUCUUGGAGAUGCCAUUUUUCAAUCCCAUCAUGAAGUGGAACUUCAUCAAAAUGGGGUCGUCCACGCCGGCUCGUCGCAAGGCGAUCUUCAUCUCCUUGAAGUACUUGUCGAUGGACUUGGAUCCUUGGAUUGUGUUCUCCAAUUGGCAUCGAAGUUGUUCUGUGUAGGUUGGAGGCACGAAAUCUCGCCGCAAAACUCUCUUCGUCUUGGGCCAACUCAUCUCGUAGCUCUCCAAAGGUGUGUGAAGCCACCAUGUCGAGGCGUAGUCGUGGAAGUUUCUUGUGGCGCACUUCAGUUGAUCUUCGGAAGGGAUUUGAUGUAGCUUGAGGUAGUCGUCCAUCAAAUGCUCCCACUCGAGAUACUCCUCGGGUUCUUGAGUCCUGUAGAAAGGAAUCUCAUUGUCGGUGUCGAGGUUGUAGUAGCUCGUGGAAGUCGCAGACUUGAGCUUGGGGAUCUUCUCUUGAGUGUAGUCUUGGGGUGCUUGUUGGCGAAGUUGCCGUAUGUCCGUAGGUGAAGAUGCCUUGAAGUCGCUUGGCGAAGAUGCCAAGGGAGAUGGUGAAGUCGUUGAUCGGUUGUUGGUGUUGAGAUCUUGACCUUCACGUUCUUGAUGGUGAUGGUGUCGAUGCUGAUUUGAUCUUGCCGGAGAUGGUAGCUCGGAAGGAUGUGCUCUUUAGCGUCUUCUCGAAGAUGAGGAAGAUCGCUUGUAGGACUUGAUGAGGGAUUUGAUCUCCUCCAUUUGAGCUUGCAUCUUGGCGUCGGAGUUGUUUUUCGUGGCAUCAAACUCGUCGUUGUUGUAGACGGAAGGUGAAAUGCCUUGCAUAUCCAUUACAAGACUCGAGUAGAGGUGAGUAGGAAAUGAGAUAAACAAUACCAAGUUACCUUAUCCCCAAAGUUGAGGAUGUAUCCCGUUUCACUCAAUGUGAAAUGAAAGAAUACUGAAAUUGGUACUGGACUUGUUCACUCACACCUAUCAAGUAAAGCUUAUGGUAGAGCUCGGUGAGGAUAGUGGCACAAAAAUUUGAUGGCAAAUGUUAGCAAGAGUCAAUAAUGUUGAAAGAGAUUCACAAAUUUGCAAGCGAAACAAGUGGACCAAUAGCAACGAAAGGUACACGGAAACACACACACGGAUAGAUAAAUGGGGUCGUGCAACCAAGGAAUGAGCACAAAAUGUGGAGUCCACGGAAAACGCUCGUGCUGCACAACUCAAGAGAGACGCUAACAUGAUUGCUCUAUUGGCGGAUACGACACUUGUGCACAACCUAUAAGAUGCAAAAUAUAUGUACUUUUAUCCCAAGUAUCUAUGUAUGUAUGGUUCCUGGUGUUUCUCUCAAGAUGAUCCAAGAUGAUCAGAUAUGACAAUCUUAUAUGCAAUGUGGUAUGAUGCUAUGGCACUUGCUUACAAGCUUCUUUGCUCUUUUUUUUGCUUAAAAGCUUUAUUUCUUUCUCUUUUUUUGUAUGGCCACUUUUGCACAGUGCACAAACCAAGAUAGCAAUUGUGUAUAUGCGGGAACAAACUUGUGACACAAGAUAUGAUACCAAGAUAUGCACCAUGAUGAUAUGGUAUGUAUGUAAUGGAAGGUGUGGACCAAUGAUCACUAAUGUGCACAAGUAGCGUUGCCGGCAAUACUCAAUGGCUAGUCUCGAUAGGCAAGUGACACAAAAUGGGUGAUACGUCUCCAACAUAUCUAUAAUUUUGAUUGUUCCAUCCUAUUAUAUUACGCCUUUUGGAUGUUUAUGGGCAUUAUUUUACACAUUUAUAUCAUUUUUGGGACUAACCUACUAACCGGAGGCCCAGCCCGUAUUGCUGUUUUUUUGCCUAUUUCAGUAUUUCGAAGAAAAGGAAUAUCAACCGGAGUCCAAACGGAAUGAAAUCUUUAGGAGAGUGAUUUUUGGAACGAACGUGAUCCAAAGGACUUGGAGUGCAAACCAAGAAGCGAUCGAGGUGGCCAAGAGAUAGGAGGGCGCGCCCACCCCCUCUGGGCGCCCCCAUAUCUCGUGGGCCCCUCGGGCGGCCACCGACGUACUUCUUCCUCCUAUAUAUACCCACAUACCCCGAAAACAUCCAGGGAGCCAACAAAAAACAAUUUCCACCGCCGUAACCUUUUGUAUCCGCGAUAUCCCAUCUUGGAGCCUUCUCCGGCGCUCCGCCGGAGGGGGAAUCGACCAUGGAGGGCUUCUACAUCAACACCAUAGCCCCUCCGAUGAGUUGUGAGUAGUUUACCACAGACCUUCAGGUCCAUAGUUAUUAGCUAGCUGGCUUCUUCUCUCCUUUUGGAUCUCAAUACCAUGUUCUCCCCCUCUCUUGUGGAGAUCUAUUCGAUGUAACUCUUUUUGUGGUGUGUUUGUCGAGAUCCGAUGAAUUGUGGGUUUAUGAUCAAGUUUAUCUAUGAGAAAUAUUUGAAUCUUCUCUGGAUUCUUUUAUGUAUGAUUGAGUUAUCUUUGCAAGUCUCUUUGAAUUAUCAGUUUGGUUUGGCCUACUAGAUUGAUCUUUCUUGCCAUGGGAGAAGUGCUUAGCUUUGGGUUCAAUCUUGCGGUGUCCUUACCCAGUGACAGCAGGGGUUGCAAGGCACGUAUUGUAUUGUUGCCAACAAGGAUAAAAAGAUGGGUUUUAUAUCAUAUUGCUUGAGUUUAUCCCUCUACAUCAUGUCAUCUUUCUUAAUGCUUUACUCUGUUCUUAUGAACUUAAUACUCUAGAUGCAUGUUGGAUAGCGGUCGAUGUGUGGAGUAAUAGUAGUAGAUGCAGGCAGGAGUCAGUCUACUUGUCACGGACGUGAUGCCUAUAUACAUGGUCAUGCCUAGAUAAUCUCAUAAUUAUUCGCUUUUCUAUCAAUUGCUCGAUAGUAAUUUGUUCACCCACCGUAAUACUUAUGCUAUCUUGAGAGAAGCCACUAGUGAAACCUAUGGCCCCCGGGUCUAUCUUUUAUCAUAUAAGCUUUCAAUCUACUUUUAUUUGCAUCUUUACUUUUCCAAUCUAUAUUAUAAAAUACCAAAAAUAUAUUUAUCUUAUCAUACUAUCUCUACCAGAUCUCACGUUCACAAGUGGCCGUGAAGGGAUUGACAACCCCUUUAUUGCGUUGGUUGCGAGUUCUUUGUUUGUUUGUGUAGGUGUGUGGGACUUUUGAGGAGCCUCCAACUGGAUUGAUACUUUGGUUCUCAAAAAAUGAGGGAAAUACUUAUGCUACUAUUGCUGCAUCACCCUUUCCUCUUCAAGGAAAACCAACGCAAAAUGGUGAAACAUGGGAGGCUGAUUUCGCAAGGGCCGGAUAUCCAGGGGUAGGGGCCGGAUUUCCGUGGGUGUAUGUCCAGAACCAUGCAGAUUUAGUGCUCCAGGAGCCGGAUGUCCGGCUUGGGGCCCGGAUGUCCAGCCCGAGGCCCGGAUGUCCGGCCCAACGAUUCCAGAGCUCGUUUGGGGCGGAAAUUUUCGAACUGGGGGCGGAAAUUGAUGAUUCCAAGGGCAAAAUUAGUGAGAUUUCGUGGAUGGAAGGUUGGGAAACUUGGGGGAAAGCUAGAUCCACUCGAAAGUAAGCAAAUCCAUGGAUCAAUAUGAACAAAACAACAUCAAAUGAACAAAUCACAAAACAAAAUUGGGGUUAUUUUUUGUGGUGAUUUUCGAAAUUUAGGACGAAAUCAAGUAAAAGAGGGCUAGAAAAUGGUGGGAGGGACUCCAAAUACGUGAUAAAUGUGGCUCAUGAUACCAUAUGAUAUAGGGCUAACCCGGUGUAGGUCGAUCUUUCACGAUUGGAGUGGGAUCCCUCGAAGAACACGGGGAAGAAUGGGGAGAAAUCACAAGGGGAAACUCUAAACAACAAGUCCAAUCACACAUCCACUAGACAAUCAAACACACAAGAUCCACAAGGGUACAUGAACAACAAAAGGAAAGAUAUAAGGUAGAGUUCAUCUCCAAGAGGAGGUCUUGAUGGUAUCCUAGAUGGAUCUUCCCGCGAGGGGGUCUUGAGGAUAUCCCGCAAGAUCUUCUCACAUGGAGGUCCUGAACUCCAUGGGAGUGGUCUCUCUCUCUCUCAAGAGGAGGAGGUAGGAGAAAAUCUCACCUAAGAAUGAGCUAUCAUAUUUUCUAACCCUAGAAUGGAGGAGGGGUGGUCUAUUUAUAGUCUAAGAGACGAAAGGGUAAGUGGGAAAGGGAUACAUGGGCCUCUAGCCCGACUCUGCGCGCAGGCAGGCGCCGGAUGUCCGGGCUGGGGGCCGGAUGUCCGGGCUCUCGUGAGACGCCGGAUGUCCGGGGCGGUUAGCCGGAUGUCCGGCCCGAGCGGGGUGGCCUUCUAUUGGCUCUAGUUGUCGAUGCCGGAUUUCCGGGGGAAGGCCGGAUGUCCGGGCCGUCGGGAGGUGCCGGAUGUCCGGGGCUGACGCCGGAUGUCUGGGGCCUGUAGCACUUGGGCUAUUGGGCUGCUGCUGUCAUUGACAUCUCCAGGGGCCGGAUGUCCGGGCUAGGGCCAGAUGUCCGGGUCCUGGAAGCUGUCUCCGUCUUCUUCCGUCGUCGCUUCCAGGCUUCCCUCGUGGAUGGUGUAGUUGUUACUUGGCUCUUGCACUCCUCCUCGUCGACCGUAGUGUUCCGAUAAUACCUAUGCAUGCACACGAGAGAAGUUUCAAGUACUACACCAUCCUCAAAGGGGUCAAGUGAACACAUGUAAAGUAGAAGAUUCACCUUUAUGUAUGAUAAGUAGAGGUCGCACGUGUCACUUGCCAAACAAACUCUUGACAUGGUGAUGUCUGUAGGAUGCUCCGCAUCAUCCGGCCUCCCCUGUCUGCGUACAGUGUAAGGGCUGAGGCCCAUGUUCUCCUUCGCCCACCUAGACUAUAUAUACUCCCCUUCCGCCCUCUUUCUAAGGUUAUCAAAGGAUUAGCUCAUAUUUGUGUGAGAGCUUUGCUCAUACACUUGGUUACUUCUCCAUUGGAGUUGACGACCUCUUCGAAGAAGAUCCCCCAAGCCGAUGCAAGACCCCUUUACAAGAAGACCCCCUCAAGACCUCCUCACGGAGAAGAACUACCGCCACUUGUAUCGUCCUUUGUUGGAUUUGAAUCGUGUAUCUCUUUGUGUUUUGAGGAUCUAGCAUAUGUGUGACCGGAUCUUGUUGGUUUAGUGAUUUCUCUUGUGUUUCCUCUCAUGUUCCCCAUGUUUUUCCCCUCAUGUUCUUUGCAGGAUCCCCUCCAAUCGUGAAAUAACGGGCAUCUAGAUUUCUACCCUACAUCAUCUUGGUAUCAUGAGCCACGUUGAUCACGUAUUUGGAGCCCCUACCCUUCUUUUUCUAGCUUGAUUUUGUUGUGUUCUUCCCCAAGUUCGAAAAUCGCCACCAAAACAGCCCCAACUUUUUUUGUGAGUUGUUGGUGUGAUGAAGUUUUGUUGUAUUUGAUCCAUGGAUUUGCUUUGCCACGAGUGGAUCUAGCUUUCCCCCAUCAUCUCCACCUUUUCCAUCCACAAAAUCCCCCAAAUUUUGCCCUGGAUUUGACAUUUCCCUGCGGUGUUCAUUGAGUUCGUCCAUGGAUCCCAAGCCCGGACAUCCGGACCGUGAUGUGCGGACAUCCGGCUGACCCCGGACAGCCGGCCACCAAGCCCAGACAUCCAGCCCCUGACAGCAACAACUCCAUCCACCGUCCCGGUUCCCGCCUAACUUUCGCCAAGUUUUGUUUCGGUGCCCAUGCAUACUUCCGCAUACCACCAUCACUUCCACAUACCACCAGCGCUUUCCACAAGCUCCACCAUCACUUACCCGCAAGCACCUCCAUCAAUUUUGACACAUUUUGGUCUUUGAGAAUUUGAGUUGUGGUUCCCGUGUCCUAUUGUGUUUUGGCUAUAUAGGUAUGGUUUGACAUCAACAUCACCACCGCUCAUCUUCGCCAAGGACUCGACAUCGCCAACAACCAUCCAUGCUUACAAACGACUACCUUGGCGGUAACCUCGACGACAUCUUUGUCUGCUCAUUGCCAUUGCAUUGAUAACCACCUUAGCCUUACUUUUGCGUUGCUUACCCAUCGAGACUAGCCUUUGAGUAUUGCCAGCAACGUGACUUGUGCACAUUACUGAGCAUACUUCCCAUAGCAUACAUACCAUAUCAUCGUGGUGCAUAUCUUGGUAUCAUCUUUUGUGUCACAAGGUUGUCAUCGCAUAUACAAUUGCUAUCUUGGUUCGUGAAGUUUUGCAUGAGAAAAGAGCUCAAAAGAGAAAGAGCCAAACAAGCUUUUAAGCAAAAGGGAAAGAUAAGCAAAAAGCUUAUAAGAAAGAACCAUAGCAUCAUACUACAUUAAGAUUGCCAUACUCGACCAUCUUGGAUCAUACCAUUGGAAUACCAUACAUAUAGCAUACUUGGGAUAGAAGUCGUUGCAUUUUUGCCUAGUAGGUUGUGCACAAGUUUUCUAUCCGCCUAUUGUGCAAUCGUGCUAGCAUCUCUCUAGUGUUGUGCAACAAGAGCAUUUUCGUGGAUUCCACAUUUUGGCUCAUUCCAUGGUUGCACGACCCCACUUAUCUAUUUGCAUGUGUGUUUCCGUGUACCAUAUCUUGCUAUUGGUCUACUUGUUGCAUUUGCAAAUUUGUGAAUCUUUUCCAACAUUAUUGAGGCUCACUAACAUUUGCAUAAAAUUUUGUGCCAGCAUCCUAACCGAGCUCCACCAUAAGCUUUUACUUGUGUAGGUGUGAGAACCGACAAGAAUUGGUACCAAUUGUGCUAUUUCCUUGUACCACAUUUUAGUGAUCAUUGAUCCAUCUUCAACAUCGGUCAAGGUACAUUUGGUAUAAGUUAUUCUCUUUCUCCCACUCACAUAUUUUCUUGGAAUGAUGGAUAGGCCAAGUUCUUCUACCAACCCACUCUUCAUCGAGCAAUACGACGACAUGUCAUCCUAUGUCACCAAGAGCCACCUCUUCGGUGUACAAAGAGCUUUACAUCAAGAAUAACAAGCAAUGAGAGACUACUUCGACAACAAGUUCGACGCACACAAACAAGAGAACGAUGCAAGAAUGGACGAGAUUCGUGCCUUGGUGGUCAAUCACCCUUCCACCACUUCGUCCUACUCAAGACGGAGCCGCUCGAGUCAACACUCUAACAGCACCCUCUCUGGCUCAAGUACACGGACAUCGAACACUCUUCGAUGAGCCGCACGCCAAGACUGUCAAGCUAACCGCAAUCCUCUUCAUGGCAACCAUCCACAAGGGAAAUUCGAUGAGCAAGCACAUCGUCAAUGUCAACGUAACCAAGAGGAAGAGCGAGCGCGCCAACACCAAGAUGAACAAGACACCGAAGCGCUCCGUCAACAACAACAACGACGUGAAGCCUAAGCACUUGAGGCGCAACAUGCAUUACAUGACACAAGUCAUGCCAUCGCCGUCUGCAAUGGUCAAACACACGAGCAACAAGAAGCAUUUUGCGAGGAAGUCCAAGAGAGUGAACGCCACAAGCCGAAAUUAAGUGCCUCGAUGAUGAGAGACAAGAAAAACUUAGUACUAUUUGCCACCAAAAGUGACAUGAGAGAAGUGUGCAAGAACCCAUCAAGUGUUAUGCACUAUGUCCUUGUGUGCAAGGACGAGGCAUCAAAAACUAACACCUCUCACGAUGUUAUCUUCUCUUUUGCAGGAAUUCCAAGAUGUUUUCCGCGACGAGCUACCUCCACGUCUACCUCCACUACAAGGCAUUGAACACCGAAUCGACCUCAUCCCAGAGCACCUCUACCUAGCAAAGCUCCCUACCGUGGCAACCCCGAGGAAACUAAGGAGAUCCAAUGGCAGGUACAACAACUCAUCAACAACGGUCAUGUACGUGAAAGCAUGAGCCCUUGUGCCGUUCCGAUAAUCCUUGUUCCAAACAAAGAUGGUACUCAUCGCAUGUGUCCCGAUUGUCGUUCCAUCAAUUCUAUCACGGUUAGAUAUUGUUACCCUAUUCCACGCUUAGAUGAUAUGCUUGAUGAGCUUAGCGGAGCCACCAUUUUCUUUAAAAUAUAUCUUAAGAGUGGCUACUAUCAAAUACACGUCCAAGAAGGUGAUGAAUGGAAAACCGCAUUUAAGACCAAAUUUGGGGCUAGUUAUGCCAAUGGGUUUAUCCGACGCACCUGGUACUUUCAUGCAAGUCAUGCACUUUGUUCUUCGUCCCUAUAAUGGUGUAUUUGUUGUGUCUAUUUUGAUGAUAUUCUUGUCUUUAGCAAAUCCCACAAAGAUCAUGUCACCCAUCUUAGAACCGUGUUGCAAACCCUUAGGAAAGAACGCCUUUAUGCUAAUAUGGACAAAUGCCUUUUUGGUGUUGAUAAGCUUGUUUUCUUGGGUUUCGUUGUGUCUUCUAAGGGUGUCCAUGUAGAUGAAUCUAAGAUCAAUGCUAUUAAAACUUGUCCCCAACAAACCAACUUGCAACAAGUGCGUAGUUUCUUGGUUUAGCCGGUUUCUAUCGUAGAUUUGUGAAGGAUUUUAGCACCAUUGCGUCACCUUUAUAUUCUUUGAGUAACAAAAAUGCGCCAUUUGUUUGGGGACCAUCCCAAGAUACCGCAUUUAAUGAGCUUAAGAAUUUGCUUACUCAUUCUCCCGUGCUUGCAUUACCCAACUUUGACAAGCCUUUUGAGAUUCAUUGAGAUGCUAGUGGUAAUGGCAUAGGAGGUGUGUUAAUGCAAGAAAAGCACCCCAUAGCAUACUUUAAUGAGAAACUUUUCGGAGUGCGACUCAAUUAUCCCAUCAACGACAAAGAGAUAUAUGCUUUAGUGCGAGUUUUGCGUGAAUGGGAACAUUAUCUUCCCCCUCAUGAAUUUAUCAUUCAUACCGAUCAUGAAACACUUAAGUACUUAAAGGUUCAAAGUAAGUUGAACAAGCGUCAUGCUAAAUGGAGUGAAUUCAUUGAGUCGUUUCCUUAUGUCAUCAAGUACAUCAAAGGCAAGGAAAAUGUAGUGGCGGAUGCUCUUUCCCGCAUAUGCAUGCUUGUCACUAAACUUUAAUUGAAUGUCAUUGGCUUUGAGCACAUCAAAGACUUGUAUGCGCAUGAUCCUACUUUUGCAAUUCCUUAUGAUAAGUGUUUGACGUAUACAUCUUGGAAUGCUAUUACAUCAAGGAUGAUUAUCUUAUGAGAGCUAACAAACUUUGCAUUCCCGAGUCUUCUCUUCGUUUGCUCCUUUUACAAGAGGCUCAUGAAGGCGGACUCAUGGGACACUUUGGACACGACAAGACAUUCGCUACGCUCUCCAACAACUAUUUUUGGCCCAAGAUGUUCUGCGACGUCUCACGCUUCACCAACCGAUGCUCUACAUGUUGCAAAGCUAAGUCAAAAGCUCAAUCCCAUGGUCUUUACAUGCCUCUUCCUAUUCCUUAUCAACCUUGGGAAGACAUUAGCAUGGACUUUGUACUUGGUUUACCUAUAACUCAAAAUGGAAAGGAUUCUGGGUUUGUUAUUGUGGACCGAUUCUCUAAGAUGGCUCAUUUUAUCCCAUGCAAGAAGAUAGACGAUGCUUCACAUAUUGCAAAUAUUUUUUGUAGGGAAAUCUUGCAUCUACAUGGAGUGCCAAAGAUGAUUGUCUCGGACUGCGACGUCAAGUUCUUGAGUUACUUUUGGAAGACUCUAUUCACCAAGCUCGGAAUCAAGCUCUUGUUCUCUUCAGCAUACCAUUCUCAAACCGACGUCCAAACGGAGGUGACGAACCGAACACUCUCCACUCUUCUACAUGUGUUGAUCAAGGGGAACAUCAAGGACUGGGAGGAGUGUCUACCCAUCACCGAGUACGCCUACAACCGCGCAAGACAUUCGACUACCGGCAAUUCCCCUUUCAAAGUCGUCUAUGGUUUCAACCCGUUGUCCCCAUUGGACAUUCUUCCUCUACCACUACAAGAGCGCAUCAACGAGGACUCCUAUAUGCAUGAACGGCAAGAUUAAGUGUCUGGAUAUACCGUUUCCUUUCUCUGUAAACCGACUCUGUACAACCCUAGCCCCCUCCAACGUCUAUAUAAACCAGAGGGCUUAGACCGGAGACGGGAUCAUAACAGUACUCAUACACUAGACAAGCUAGGGUUUAGCCAUUACGUUCUCGAGGUAGAUAAACUCUUGUAAUCCCUAUAUUCAUCGAAUACAAUCAAGCAGGACAUAGGGUUUUACCUCCUUUAAGAAGGGCCCAAACCUGGGUAAACAUUGUGAUGCGGAUCAUCCUAUGGUCAUCCCCAUGGACCUACUAUUUUCUCACCAAGUGCUAAGAGGACCUAUGACACGAGCACGAGCUAGAGCUCUCGAGACUGAGGUGACUUCUUUCCUUAGUGAUAUCUCAUAUGAUCCACUUGAGAUAUGGCUACUACCUAAGUUCAGAAUGUUGUGCAUGAUUAGGUACCGAGAGAACCCUCCCAAGGAUGCACAUGAAGAUGGUCAAGAUCCCAAGUCCACGGAUGAAGAGAACCAAUGGAGGGAGACAAGAACAACUUCUAGGACCCGAACAUCCGGCCAUGGCCCCGGACAUCCGCCCUUGGAGGUGUCGCCUGCAGCCAAGGACUAGUGGCCAAGUCUACAGGGCCCGCACAUCCGGCGGCCAGUCCGAACAUCCGGCCCGUCACCCCGGAAAUCCGGCUCCCAACUCGGACAUCCGAGCAAGUCAUCCAGGGAGCACCGAGGCCUGCCUCGCCAGCCCGGACAUCCGGCCACGACCCUGGACAUCUAGCCCCUCACGACGUCCCGGACAUCCGAACGACGCCCAGACAUCCAGACCAGCCCUAUCCAGAGAGUUCCAAGAUGGUGUCAGGCCAGCCCAGACAUCCGGUCCAACCGCCCGGACAUCCAGCACUUCAUGAACACCCGGACAUUCGGCCCGAUGCCCGGACGUCUAGCUUCCCCUGUCUGCGUACAGUGUAAGGGCCGAGGCCCAUGUACCCACUACAAAAAAAAAUACACUUCCAUGAUGAUACGUGUUUAUCACAGUAGGUCGCGUUUUUUGUCAUGCAUGUACAUCCAUGACGAUUUUAUGACAGAAUUAAGAUAGUCGUACAUGUGCUGUCGUAGAAGUUUUCCAUGACAUUACCAAAAUUAUCAUCACGGAAGUGUCCGGUUCCAUGAUGAUAAAUCACGCAUCACAGAAGUGCUUUCGUCAAGGGUGACCGACACAUGGCAUCCACCGUAAUGGAACGCCGUUAAGCUAUCGGGUUGGGUUUUGGAUCCGAUAACCCGUUAACAGCCCCGACCAAUGGGAAAAUUCCACGUGUAAAAUUCUUAUUGGCCGGACUAAACACGUGUCAGCUCGUCAGUGGGUCAGAUAGGCGCCUAUGAUAUGUCGACACGUGCCCCGGCCCACUACUGGCCCAUUUAGCUUACAAAGUCGGCCCGUUUGACUUGGUCAAAAGUUAACGGGCUGGCCCAUGAAAAGCCUGUUAACGGUCUCUUCGCAAAUAGCCCAUUUUACGGCCCGUUAACUCAUGGCCCGUUAGACCCUAAAGGAAAUCGCCCAACAACAUCAUGUGGGCCGUCGAAUAUAACACCAGCCCAUUUCACUUUCGGCCCAUGUAUGGCCCACGACGUCUUUCGGCCCAUAUGAGGCCUUCGUAUCUUUCGGACCUUUACAGGCCCACGAUGACUCUAGCCCAUAAUGAACAGUAAUUGUCUUUGUACCCGUUAACGGCCCGUGAUUUACAUAGGCCGUUUCCAGCCCGUGUUAGCUUUCGGCCUAUUGAUGACCCAUAUGUUCUUGGGCUCCUUUUUGGCCCUCGAUUACUUCCGGCCCGUUACUGGCCUGUUCCCCUAAUGGGCCAAAUUUGGCCCAUGGCAAGAGUCGGCCCGUUACUGGCAUGUUCCCCUAAUGGGCCAAAUCCGGCCCAUGGCAAGAGUCGGCCCGUUACUGGCCUGUUACCCUAAUGGGCCAAAUUCGGCCCAUGGCAAGAGUCGGCCCGUUUCUGGCCUGUUAACCCAUUGUGCCGUUUCCAGCCCGUCCUAUAUUCUGGCCCAUUAACGACCCGUUAUGCCUGUGACAGAAUUAAGCCUUUGCAGUCCUACAGCCUGUUAAUGGCCUGUUACCGUGCUGGGCCGAUACCAAUUACACCCGAUUACGACCCAUGUAGACCCAUUUAUCCGACGGCCCGAGGCCCAUCGAUCACAGGCCCAUUUAUCGACGGCCUGAGGCCGACCGAUUACAGGCCCAUUUGUCGACGGCCCGUAGGAGACCCAUGGAUCCUACGACACGUAUAGGGCCCAUGGUAGUUGCGGCCACUAGCAAACCAGGGAAAAAGAAGACUAGGAAAUAAAUAAGGCCGAAACUAACGCUAGGCUAUUAAGGCGAUUGCACAGAUUACAUCCACUCAGCAUCAAAGAUCGCCACCAGUGCAAAUAUAGGGAACACCCUACACUACACAAAAAUGGCUUGCUGUUUUCUUCAGCCGGUGGCUGCACGUUAAGAAUAAAUUUUGUAUCGCACCAAAACAAAUUACAACUAUAUAACAAAAGGAAGGUUGGCAUAAAACUUAACAGUCUAGCAGAUAAAUGCUCCACCAGAAGUUCAGAAGCUCAGUUCAUUUGACCUGACUGUUACGUUUUCAUGCUGUAUUGUCCGAUGGAGCACCAUAACCCUCGCCUUCAUUUCCCCUAGGCUCGUGAACAACAUAGCAAAUGUCUGAUAGUCUGGUUUCAAAACCAUGCAUAUCUUGACGACAUUGAGCAAUGUUUCUCCUUGUUUCACAAAGGGCCUCUAUUAGGGAAUGGACUUGCGUCUGGAGCGCAGAUACAACAUUGCUUUGAGCUUGCAUAUCUUGAUCAUGAGGCAGUUUGGACGAUAUUUCCUUAACAACCAACCCAGUAUUACGCAGGAACGUGCUUUUGGCACUGUUAGUAGACAGGUACUGACCCACUGCAGCAAGAGCUGACAUUGCAAUUAUAGUUGCCUCACCACCUUCAGAAGGUGGCGGUUCCACCAUUUUUUCCAUAGGUCACUGAAAAGUUGAGGUUUUACAUUAGUAGUACCAGAACAGAAGAUAUUAAGGAGGCAGCAAAACCAAACAAAAUAGCUUUGGUCUAUAUACAGAACUUAUUCUGGUGAACCCUUGUAAAAUAUUAGUUGUAUUUUAUUGCAAAGUACAUAAUAAAACCAGGUUCCAAACAUAUGACCAUGUACCAUUGCUAAUGUAUUGUCUAUUUCUUCACAUUGUAUUGAGGGCUAAGUAUAAAGAGAUGAAGUUUAUAAUACGGUAAGCAUAGUAUGACAUCAUUCAUAUCACAAAACAACUGAGAAUAGUCAAAUAGGCAAUUGUAACAUUGUGUGGGCAAGUCCAGCACGAAACUAGAUUACGGGUCAAGAUCAAAGGAACAUCACUCCUCUCUUUUGAACCUUGUAAGGUGCAAUGAUACGCUAAGACAAUUGUGUAUAAAAUUGAAAAGAGUAAUAGACAUUGGCUGCAAACCAUGCAGUUCAAGGCACAAGUCAGAGUAAGUAGUAGUUAAAAGACAUGAGGAUUAAGGAAUUACAAUAGUGUCUUUGACUGUCAUAGUCAUGCCCUUCUUCUUGCUGGUGUGACAGUCCUUGAAGAUUUCCACGACAUUUGGUUCAGGUACUUUUCGGUCCUUGCGGGCUUUCCUCUGCAUUUCUAACAAGUCAAUAUAGAUCUGAUAAUAUGGUACAACAAAAAGAGUGAAACAACAGCUAAUUACAAGAGCCUCGCAGUGUGCAAUAUAGCUACGAGAUCCUGUCGUCUGUUGGAAUUUCACUUUCAUACGGUUGGCCUUGUUCUUUGAAUAGUUCACCUACAAGAAGAUAGAUUUGUGUGGCACAUGGAUAAAUAGGACUUCAACAUGUGUCUGAUCACAUAUAUAUAAUGUACCUGAUACUUCGGAUCAGACCAGUGUUAACAAGGCCCCUCCAGUCUUCAUCCGAUAUAUUUUCCACUGGAGAUGUUUGGGAAAGUUCACUGUUAGCCUUGCCUUCAAACUGAGUUUUCCUCAAGUUAUACCGAUACUGUCGCAGAGCAGACUUGAAAACAUGGGUGCAAGCUUGUCUGGUUGCAUCAUCUUGGCUAUCCAACUUGAACCUCAUCUGUUGAAAAUUAUGGGAGUCUCAUUAUCAGCAACCUAGAAAGUAUGGGAUAAAGCAAGACGAUAUUAGUAGUUUCCAUACAUAACCAUACUUACAGAUAAAUGGUUGAGGAAGGUGUUGAACUGGGUUUCGUCUUUGUCAUUCCUGUACUGAAUCCAUGUUGGGAGGAUACGUACAUGACACCUAACGGCAACCGCUGCCUCUGAUACUAACUUGGCUGACUCUGUAGCAUCACGUGGCCUUUUUAAACCUGCCUCAAAACGGAUCUCCAUUCUUCCUCCUCUAGAUUUAGUUAACCUAUCGAGCAUUAUCCCUAAUGUUUGUUUCCUCUUGCGCCUAGGUGCUAGUCUAACAACGAAUAUAGGAAGUGUUAGUGUACAUCAAACUGUGAGACUACAUAUAAAGAAGCAUGCAACUGUAACUUGACUCCAGCAACUACCUUCUUGUUGUUGAAGCUCACAAGGUUCAUCUGAUAUUGCCAACUCGUCUUGUGUCAAGAGUGCUUGGGAAGUAGUGUCAGGUGGAAAGGGAGCUUGGGAACGUGCUGCUAGCUCAGUUGACGCACGACUAAGUCGUGCAGCUGGUAGUACUGUGGUAGGUGUUGCAAGAACUAGGGCUAUCUCUGCUUGUUUGGUGGCAGCUAUUUUUUUCUGUUUGGCUUUUUUUGCAACUCGUGUAGCAUGGGAUGCCGUGUUUGUAGAAUUUUCCACUGGACUUUGACCUUCUAUUGCACCAUCAGUACCAGCAGAAUCUGCAUGAUUCAUCCGCUUCUCAUUCCCUGCCAUUCUGUGUUUCUUCCUCUUUCUCUGUGCCAUGUUAAGUCAAGCCGACAAGAAAAACGAAUAACAAUUUAGUUCUUCAGAACAAAUUGAUGCAUGAUGCAGAUGAACUGAACUUUGAUGUUAGACAACCACAUGAUAGGAGGAUGUAAUAUGUAUGAAAAACAGGACGGAAGAGAUAACCAGAACUAUGAUGUGUAAACUAAGAAGAAGACAUUUCACCAAAUUAGAAGCAAUGCAAUGGAAGGUAGACACCAUAUGAAAGAUGCUACAAAUAUCGCUCUGCCAAGUUAACAGUGUCUCAUCAUAAAUGGCGUUUAAACAAAUGUGAAGCAGUACAAGAAAUAAAUCAUAUGCAAGAUGCAAACAACAUCACACUACCAUGUUAGAGGUCUCUCGUCAUUAGUGCCAUUGCAUAUUCACAGCAUUGCAUAUUCAUGUGUAAACUAAGGAGAAGGCAUCUCAACAAAUUAGAAGCAAUGAAAGCUAGACACCAUAUGAAAGAUGCAACGAAUAUCACUCUACCAAGUUAAAACUUUCUCGUCAUAAGUGCCAUUUCAACAAAUUAGUAGUACAAGCUAGAAAAGAAUGUGAGAUGUAACCUAUAUCACACUCCAAAGUCAAACGUGUCUUAUGAUAAGUGAUUGUUGCAGGUUACACAACAGUAGUAAUUUGAUGUAAGAACAUGGUGUGAUAGACAUAUAUUGUAUGUUCUAGAAACAGGAACAUGUGUCUUAUUCAAGUAUAAUGUGUAAAGUAAGCAGAUGGAAUUCAACAAAAUUAGAAGCAAUACAAGCUAGACAUCACACAUAAUAUGCAACCACAUAUAAUAGUGCCAAGUUAGAGGGAGCACCAGUGAUGCUGCACCAGGGGAGACGUGCUCAUCAUAAACAUAGCUUUGUUGAGUGUCUAUGCAUGUGUUGUCUUGGAAAUCAUCUUGGGGGUGUGAAGGAGUAGAAACUGUAGAGGCCCACCAUUCGGAAGGAGCACCUUUAUCCGCUGCCUUGCUAACUUCCUUCCGCUUUAUUGAUUUUGAAUUGUCAAGUAAAACGGACAAGAAAAAGCAAUAAAAUUCUCUCUUCAGAACUCAUUCAUGCAUGAUACUGACAAUCACUACUUUGAUGUAUGGCAAACACAUGAUACCAGGAUGGAAUAUGUACGAAAAACAGGACGGCAUGGCAUGUUCACAACUGUUUGUGUAAACUAAGCAGAAACCAUUCCAGCAAAUAAGAAGCAAUGCAAGCUAGACACCACAUGAAAGAUGCAACUAAUAUGACUCUGCUAAGUUAAAAGCGUCCCAUCAUAAAUGGAAUUUCAACAAAUUAGAAGCAUCUCAUGCUAUAAAUCAUAUGAAAGAUGCAACUAAUAUCGCACUGCAUAUACUAAAGGUGUCUCGUCAUAUUGAUUGAUGCGGGAUACAAAAAACAAUAGUUUUAUGUAAGGACAGGCUUAAUAGACAGAUGUACUAUGUACUAAAUACAGGAAGGCAUGUCACAUUAACAGGUAUAAUGUACAUAAGCUAAGCAGACUUGCACAUGUAGUUUAACCAGAUUGGAAGAAUUACAAUCUAGACACCAUAUGCAACAUGCAACCACAUAUCACGCUGCCAAGUUAGAGCAAGCACCUGCGAUGCUAGUGUAGGGGAAAUGCUGUAAUCAACUAUAGAGCUACGUUCACUAUCUUCAUCUAGCAUUUCUGUUUCUUGAGAAUCAUGUCGGGAGGCUGACGCUGCAUUCUUUAAAUGAGGAGUAGUCCCCUUGCCUGCCUGCCUCGUCAUAAGUGAUUAAUGGGCGAUACACAAGAACAUUAGUUUGAUGUAAGAACAUGGUUAAUACACAGAUGUACUAGUAUGUACCAAAAACAGAAAGGCAUGUCAUAUUCAAAGGUAUAAUGUGUAAGCUAAGCAGAUGCAAUUUAACCAAAUUGGAAGCAAUACAAGCUAGACAUCCGGCUGGAGCGGUGAACAUGAUCAUCUAGGACCUGAGACCCCGGUGGGAGGCGGGAUGCUUCGCCACCAUCACGGCUUUUUAGUUGGCUUCCAGGUGAUGCCUGUCUUUGCUGGGCUUGUCACUGGCUCGGCCAGUGCCCUGACUAGCUAUUUUUCUUCUGGUGCUCACGGGAUGGUGGUUCAUGUAAAAAUAUAUCUUUCCUUAUCUUAAUAAAGACCGACUUCGGCCUUUCGAACACAAGCUAGACACCAUGUGGAACAUGCAACCACAUAUGACACCACGAAGUUAAAGCAAGCACCUGGGAUGGUGGUUCAUUGCGAGCGAGGUCAUCAACUCCAGAGAUACGUUUACCGUCUCCAUCUGCUGACACUGCACCCUUUAUAGCACUAUAACGUGCCAUGCCUAGCCGCAUAGAAAGCUGGCACGACUUGUCUUUUUGUUUUUUGCUUUUCUCGAGGCAGACUCUGAAAUACCCUUGCAUAAAAACACAAUAGUGAGAGCAUGGGUGAAGUGUGUGCAGAACUAGUGCACUCUAAAAGUAGCAGAUAGCAGGUGGCUAAAAAAUAAAUGACAGGAGACAUAUGAUAGCUCUACAAAAUUGCAUGGCAAACAAAAUUAGAUUCUACUCCGUAUGAUUUUGUAAUAUAUGAGCACAGGAAAUGCAGGUACUCCUCCAGCACACCACCACAUGUGGUCAUAUCUAAGAUAACAGUCGACUGAAAAUAAAUAGGUCAGUCAAUUUUUUUAAUGAAUCGUCCGAUCUAUAAGGAACGGGUAGAUGGACUUCGUCUACCUCCCGCCAGUCACCGUUGACGAUCUUUCUCGAACCGCCAUUGACCACCGGCCUAGACCCCUGCCUCCGCCGCCCCGCCCUCCCAUCAACCUCACACCACCGCCGUGCUUGGCAGCGCCCCUAGGUCAUCCCUUUAAUCCCGGCCGACCUCCAGAUCGGGCGCCAGUAGCUCUAGGCCGCACACGCCCCUAAGAUAAACACCAAGGCGCUGCUUCCCCGGUGUAAUAGUCGUACUACCGCCUGUUACACCGGGGAAUGCUUCCGUUAAUUGGGAAUAAACUGGCCAGAAAUUGAAAUUCAGGGGGGCGACGUACCUCUAGCUAAGGUGAAAUAGUAUAUGAGGAGAAACCUUGUGCAUCACGAGUUACUAGGAACAUCUAGUAUCAAGAAGAAGCGGUCAACUAGUGUCUUCUGUGGGAUGAAUACCGUGCAAGCAGAGACGUAAGAUUUGCACAAAUAAGGGAAGAGGAGUACCUUCUUCGGUUGCCAGUGUGGUCACCUCCACAUGUCGCGCCGAUCUUCUUAUUUUUACCGGGGAAACCGAUGUUCUGGAGGGUGCAGGCUUGGACGAACCCAUGGCCAAAUUGUUGACUAUGCUGUCGUGGCCGUAUGUCGACGGAGGGGAAGCAGAUCCAAGGCGGCGAAGGAUGGCGUAGCAGGAACAGCUCCGGUGCGGUGGAGGGUGGCAAAGUUGGAGCGGCAGCGGUGAGGCGCAGGACGGCGUGGUUGAACUGGCUCGGGUACGGACGGCUCGGCCUCGGCUUCAACUACGAGCUGUGGAGGGCGUUGCGGUUGAGGUUGCGGUGGACGACGACAUCGGGGUAUCGGCUCCGGAGUGAUGGAGGAGGGCGGCGGUUGAUGGGUGGGAUGGGGUGGCGGACGGAGGACGCCGGGGUUUCGCGGCUGGUGGAGAGGUAGUUUUGGCACCCGCGGAGUACGAAUGGGGAAUCAGACGGGUGGGGGGAACCAUGUUUCGGUCUGGGACGCGCUUGUUUUUGGCUUUUUUUGAACAGAAGAUGGGACGCGCUUGUUUGAAAUUUGGGGAAAGUACAAACUUUGCCCCCCUCUUAAAUUUCGGACCUACUGCGGGUCAGGGGUAGGAUGGUAAUCCCAGGUGUCCCAUAUAGUGGGCGGGAGCGAUUUCGGUCGCGUGCAUGUGUGCUUAGGCGGCCAUUGUGUAUGAAUGUUUUUCGGAGGCGGUUGCGUGGCGUCUAGAUGAAGCUACAAACCUACCCCAGUUUAGACCUUUGGACGUCGGGCCGGUAGGUUUCAUGAGUCGGAGUUAUUAGAAAAGUAAUUUCCUUGUACUACCAAACAUUGGUCUCACGCGGUUUCGGGCGAGUAGAGGCUCUUUUGGCGUUUCGUUCGAAAUAUUGAAACACAAGCAUUCACGUUUAGAGUACUCUUGAACUAUGAGGAUUGACCUAAAUAGACAACGUUAAAUUUGACCUUGUAUGUUUGAAAACCUCAUUAAAUUAUCCGCUUCUUUUUGAAAUUUUGACACUUGAAAAUCCUAUAACUACGAUUAUUUUGGAAUGGAGGAGCUAAAUUUGAAUCUAUUUUGUACACGACUACAUAUGCUAUUAUGUACAAAAUCAGAGCAAAGAUUGGUGCCCCAAUAAUUUAGGUAUUGUUACAAAUGCCAUGAUAUCAAAUUCAAAUAAUAGAAUGGACUUCAUGUUGAAUUUGAUUUUUUUUAAACCACCUUAAGUUGAAUUCAAAUGUAUGCUAGUUCAUAGGUAGCUAUUUAUAAUGUCCAUUGUGUAACUUUCGUAUGUAUAAUGUGCUUUACACACAUAACAUGAACUAUACUCACGUUUAUAUUCGAUUCCUAAAGCGAUGCAUUGUCUGGAGUUCAAAAUACUAACUAUGUGGAUCAAUUGUGUCGAAUAAUAACAUAGACAUGCUCAAAUUCGAUAGAAUCUAGAUGUCUGAUGGAUUAAUGACCGCUCCUUACGUGAAUUGCAAAUAUCAUGAUCCCAUCCUAAUAUUUGGAUACAAUUUAUAUCUUUAAUCAAUGUGUAGAGCAGUAUUUUACGUGUAGUUUCACUCUCCAUCAGUGGUCUCUCACACAUGCUCACACACUCUCUCCCGAGGUGUCUUUCUCGCACACAUGCUCUAUAUAUAACCCUCCCUCCCUCUCGUAACCAUUUACAACUGUUUUUACUAACCUUUAUCACAAGCACUCUUCCUCUCGCAAACAUACACAUGCACAGUCUUCAUCGACCCUUUCUAUAUAAAUGGACCUGCCUACGUGUCUCAUGUACGCACAUUAUCUUUACGCCUGUCUCAUGCAUUUUCUCACACCUCUCUUCCUAAUCGACGAGUAUGAUUCUAGCAAAGCAUUCUGUAGGAUGCCCCUUAAAUUUAGGUUGGAUGAAUAGUAAUAUCAGAGAUAAAGGGGUUACCUUAGUCCGAGAACCUACGGUUACAAAUCCUAGCCGGGUUUGUCAGUGGACACAGAGUCCUUCACAAUUCUGCUAUCUUUGUCUUGUACAACUAGUCAUCCAUGGGUCUUCCUAAAUGUGUCAUGGGCCGACCAAUGUGGCGCAGGACGGAACCGAACGAAGGGCCUCACCUCGACCCACUGGACCUCACACGGUGACACACCCUCUGCCCCCACGUCUCAUUAUCUUCUCACACCCAACAUACCAACACAAACACCACACACAAAGCAAUUUUCUCCUGGUGCCUCUAUUCCCUCCCCCCUUGCAUAUACACACUCAAGGGAAUGGAAUCUUUUGUCGUGGCGUCAUAGUCGNNNNNNNNNNNNNNNNNNNNNNNNNNNNNNNNNNNNNNNNNNNNNNNNNNNNNNNNNNNNNNNNNNNNNNNNNNNNNNNNNNNNNNNNNNNNNNNNNNNNNNNNNNNNNNNNNNNNNNNNNNNNNNNNNNNNNNNNNNNNNNNNNNNNNNNNNNNNNNNNNNNNNNNNNNNNNNNNNNNNNNNNNNNNNNNNNNNNNNNNNNNNNNNNNNNNNNNNNNNNNNNNNNNNNNNNNNNNNNNNNNNNNNNNNNNNNNNNNNNNNNNNNNNNNNNNNNNNNNNNNNNCUCUGUCCAUUCCUCUCUCGAAUACCUAAUACACACACAUACCUCUAUAGGCCCCGCCAAAUGCAUCAACUACACAUUCACACAUGUUACAUCACGUACCCCAUUGAUAUAAAAAGCCCUCUCUUCACAUUUAUUUCGCAUACAACAUUCCUUUUGAAUAAAGUGUGGCCAAAAAAUUAUUUUAGAGUUUCUACAUAUAUACAACAUUACAAAGUUAUAUGGAGGAGUACGAACACUAAUUUGCAUUGCAUGGUGCCCACAAUGAUAUUUAUUCCGCACUGUGAAUUUGUAUAUUUUUAUACUAUAUACAAAGUUAGUCAUAAUAAAGAGAAAUGAAGAGCAUCUCUCUUUCCAUCGCAUACCCCCCCUGUACGCCCCUUUCAUGUAUGCACAUAAAACUAUCUCCAGGUCCUCUAAAAGUAAGCCCCCAGAAAAUUCAUGCAUGUUUCAUCUUUCUCUCGCGAUAUAUGCAACGACGAUCAAUGUAUUUGAAGCGAAAGCACCAUACAUACAUUGGACUUCAUAAUCCACUCAUUACGGUCACCGUUUACGUUUAGUUGUUAUUAUACAGUCACGGGCUCACCGUACAACUCUGUAUUUGCUCAUGACAUGACUAGUUGACCAGUUAAACGCUCCACGUGGCACCUCUAGUGUUGCAUCACAUUAUCUCACUACCAUCGUGCCCACUUGUCGACUUGUAUCUACUCUACAUCUACACUCUUAUAAAAUACAUAAAAUACACUCUUAUAAAAAAUAGAGUUGGUGAUGAUGGUGUGCUUGCCAUCCUGCAAUAUAGGCCGUCUGAUUUAUAUCUGAUGGAUAGGAAAGAAACUAUGGCAAUUUUGCAAAAAGGUACCCACACACCUCUCCACAUUUGCAAAUAAGGCCUUCCCUCGUUCAUCCUUUUCUCUCACAAGAUAAAAAAGUCAUACAAAUGCAUGUUGAUGUUACGUGCAACGCACGGGCAUCUUGCUAGUAAGAAUGAAAACAAACGACAAAAAAUUAAUUUUGACGAUGGUUUGAAGUCAUGACCGCGGGCACAAUGGACAAGGUGGCCUUGUAUUGGUAUGCUGAGACGUCUGUUUUAACACACAUGAGCGGGUGUGGUGAUUAUACACACACGCAUACAUGCACACGAACUGCAUCCAUGCAACACUCACACAAACACAUGCACCCACGCACGCACGCAACACUCACACGUACACACGCAGCCACGCACACACGCACGCAUGCAUGCACACACCAGUACACCACACGACCAACACACACUCUCACGCUCAAGUGCUCAACCUACACGUGCAUGCGCACACAUCAGGCCCUGACAGACACAUACACAACCAGGUGAUUCCCGUGCACGGGUCGGAGCCUUGUCGCGCCUGCGUAAAUUUGUGUUUAUCUGACCUUUUCCCUAUGCGAACUAAUAGGUGGGACCCACAAGGAAUGUGGUCAAUUUAACUAGUCAACAUGGCGCCACACAGACUAUUUGGCCGGUCAACAGAGUGCAAUCCGAUGCUGAACUGUGAGCAAGUGACCGGAUAAUCACCGCAAAACGUAUAUAGUGACCGUAAUCAACUUAUUCUAAAGUUCGGUGACCGUAUUAUGCUUUUCUCUCUGUAGGCCCUCCAAAACUAUAUCUCUACACGUUCUCGCAUGUUACAUCUAACAACUAUGCAAUACAACACUACUACUACACUCUAACACAAUAAAUCAUAUGUGUUUUUAGUUUUACUAGAUAUUACAUUGUUACUUAUAAUUAUUAAGUUUGCAUACAUUAAAAUUGCCUUUGAAAUGUAUGGCCAGUAUCAUCUACCGCGCGGGAAAAAUCCCGCCUUUCCUGUUUAAUCGGGUUUGUAUCGAUGGAUCAUGCGAAACAACAAAACUAUAGUACUAUACAGUACAAGUGAUAGUUCAUUGGGCCGUUGUGUCGUCUACUCCUCCGUCGUAAGAGUGGAGUGCUCGCUUUCAUAAAUCUUCUAGUCCCUUUCGCCGACAUGUGGGACAUCAAGCUACUGGGUCCACGUGCCAUACCGGAAUAUAGUGUAGAGCAGCCGGGGUGAAGCACCCCAGUCAUGGUGCCGGUGUAGUAAUGAGCAAUGAGGCGUCAAAUCACAAAGUUGCACCUUUCCCGCAAUUAAGUUGGAGGGACGAAGUAAUAAUGCUAAAAAAAGAAGUUGGAGGGACGAAGCAACCAUCAUUUCACUCGUUGCUAAAUCCGCUUCUCCGUCAUCUUCUUCAACUUAACCACGUGUUGCUUCUGCCGUUGUUCUGCCUCAUGUGGGACGCGGAUCGGCUUGGUAAAGCACUGACACGUGGGACCGCGUGUUAGCAAAACCGCCAGGACAAUGUCCUCCGAAAAUAAGAAACCUCCCCCGCCAUCCGCACGGCAAAAUCACCUCCUUUUUAAUAAUCUUGAUUCUAUAAUUUUUUAGAUCAAUAUAAUUGAGAUUUGUAUAGAUAGCACACAGGAGCAAAACCAAGUGGUACAGUUAGGGGCAUCCAGAAUGUGUAGCCAAAUGUGAAAAUAGCUUUUGGCAUCGUGGGAACCAUUGUGGACAGUGCUGCCAAAGCCAAAAAGAUGGAACCAAAGCUCCAUGAUUGAUUGAUUGAAGGAAUAGAAAAAUGCAAUGUCUCUCCUCUUUCUCCCAUGCUUGGACGCAUGUAGUACAGUAUAGAGCACAAAGUCUACUCCCCUGUCCCUUCUAUCACAAAUCACAAAGCAGUAAGGCGUCAAAUCACAAAGCACGGAAGAAGCAACCAUCAUUUCACUCUUCGCUGACUCCGCUUCUCCAUUGUCUUCUUCGAGAAACCAUCUCACCGCACUAGUACUCCUAGUAGUAGUACUCGUAAAGGACUUCCUGGAUGCAAAUAAGGCGGUUGUUUCGGCUUCCAGGCGGCACUUGUGAACGACUUACCAUGGUCUCCCUCAAUGGUGUUCUCUGUCGAACGCACUUCACCAAACCACAAAAAAAAUAUUGUCGACGUCACCGCAAUGGGAAAGGAAGUCAAAUAUAGUUACUACCUCCAUUUUUUUGUACACAAGGCCAGUAUUAUCAAAAUUACAAUUUGCAAAGGGCCACUAACACUAAUCGAGGCAAAAUUGAUGAGGUUAGCAACCAAGGACAUUAAUAUCCCCUGCAUGCAUGCGGAAGUGAAAAGGUUGGUUUGCAUGGCGCUACAUUAAUCAAGCGAUGAGGAGUGAGAUGGUUAGCUCUUUGGUCUUUCAAGAAAAAAAUACGCAUUAAUUGACACAUGAAAUGAGGAUUUGUAUCGAUUAAAUCCCGCGAAGGAAAACCCCGCCUUUCUUUUUAACACUAGUAUUCCUAGUACAUACGUACUUAUCCUGUUUGGGUCUAGGCCUUGCAUUGCCAAACUUCGCCACACAUUUUUGCCAAGCUUGCCUAAAGUUUUCAAAAUGAGAAGGAGGUACACUUGCGCACAGCUGUCGCGGUCGCACCGCACCCUCACACGGUCGCUCCUGCAGCACCCUCACACAGUCGCUCCUGCACGCCGCAAACCCAACCAAGGGAACGCACCCUCACUGACAUGUGCUGUCGCAUGUGAACAAACCAAACUCAGCCAUCCUAUCACUGACACAUAAUUUUCGUUCAUAGAGUAUGUUUAUCCAACCGCAUGUCGGGAAGUAUCUGUACGACCCGUGCGGUGGUCUGUUGGGGAAGAAGAAGAGGUGAGGAAGAAGGAAAGAAGGAUUAGGAGACAUAGGAUAUUCAUCCAACCGCCUGAAAUGGUAGACUGACCCAAGUCAGGUGACUUGCAUAACAAAUAUAGUAUGUUUUUACACAGCAAAAGAUCCAUAAAAACAACAACAUAAAGAAAAACUAUCACUGCUCGCGGAAAGAGACGGCCUCGUCGUCUUUGGCUGCCGGCGCGAACCAGCCGGCGCUGCCGACGUGUGUCUCCGCACCGUGGUUGUCCUCGGCCUCCAGCUACUCGUUGAAGCGGAGCGUGCGGGCGCUCUACACGGACGAGAGCACAACCCGAUUCAAGUCGAGGACGUCCGGUUCCGCCUGGAGGAGGGCCUCGAUGGCAGCAGCAUCCGCGCGCUCCGCGUCGAGUCGAGCCUCCACCGCCCGGUUCAAGUCCAGGACUUCCGGUUCCGCCUGCAGGAGGGCGUCGAUGACAGCGGCAUCCGCGCGCUCUGCAUCGAGUCGAGCCUCUGCCGCCCGGUUCAUGUCCAGGACGUCCGGUUCCGCCUGCAGGAGGGCCUCGAUGGCAGCGGCAUCCGCGCGCUCUGCCUCAAGUUGAGCCUCCGCCGCCCGGUUCUCAUCCACGACAUCCGGUUCCGCCUGCAGGAGAGCCUUGAUGGCAGCGGCAUGCGCGCGCUCCGUGUCGAGUUGAGCCUCUGCCUCUCAGUCCUCCUUUAGUAUCGCCAUGUUGAACCGCUGGUCCGCCUGCACCAUGGGGGACUCAGACGCCGGCACGAAGUCGACGUCCAUCGUCUCAUACCCAUCGGGGGCCUUCUGCGCCGCGACCUCCGCAGUGUACAUUGGAUCGGCUUCCUCCUCCUUGUAGCUUGGCUCUAGAAAACUCGAGGAUUGGCCCACCGCAAAGCGAGCUUGGGAAUGGAUAUCUGUGGCGCCGACCGCCGCCGCGAUUUCUGCGCGGUGCUCUGGCGUCAGCAUCUUGUAGUAAGUGAUCUUGCGGCGCACCUUGGCUUUCCGGCGAACUAGGGGGCGCUUGAUGCGGGCUAGGGGAUCGAAAGGUGGGGGAAUGGGCUGGAGAUUUGGUGUGGUUUUAGGGCAGUGGCUGGCGUAGGCCGAGAGCGAAGGUUCCGGUGUGAAUAGUGGUUCUGGUGACGACCGGUCAAUCGGUUUUGAUUUUACAUCGCUCUUGUCGUGUUCGUGUUGGAGCCCGGCGCGCUGGACCCUCCACGUCGCUCACCGAAUGGAAUGCGCUUCGUCUUGCAUUUUUGCUCGCUUGUGGGACCGCAGUUGAGAGCAAACCGAUGUCCCUCCCCCUCCCCUACCCGCGUCAUUUAUUAUACCACCACUCGCUCUGUUUUAUGCGGAGUAAAUAAAAACAGAGGGAGUAUACUACGGAUGAGGAUCCCGUGACGUGGCCGAACCCAUUGAGUAACUGACUUGCGGGGCCUGGCAAGCAUGGGGUCCACCAGUAAGUGACCGAAAGGGAGGGUAAGGCAGGGAUACCUAUGUCAGAGGAUCCACUUCCACUAUACUACUUUGACCAAAUGUUAGAGUAAUAAUAUAUGACAUACAACUUACACAAAUGUUAGAGUAAUAAUAUAUGAAAUGCAACUUACACAAAGCAUACAGGGUCUAAUGCGUUUUCCGAGGCUAACUUUGACCAAAUGUGAGAGUAAUAAUAUAUGACAUGCAACUUACACAAAGCGGUCAAUUUCAUAUGUGAAAGGAGUUUCCAAUGAUAUAAUUUUCACAUUAUACAUCUCAUGUACUAUUAAUCUUGUCAAUAGUCAAAUUGGUAACCAUCUCGAUUACAAAUCUAUGAGUACGUACGAAUCUAACAAUAUUGAUUGGGCGUUGUUGAAUGUUGAUACCUUUUUGAUCAUAGUAGAGAUACUUUGACUACACAUAACUUAUAUGUAAACUAGAAAGGAUAGGAGGGAGUAUAUUGUACGUUCAAAAACGAAACAGACAUUGAAUACCCUUUAUAUAUGAUUUGCGGAUGCUAUGAUCACCGGUUCAAAAUUUUGAAUCCGCCUUAGGUAUCACGCGCCCCCACUCGUUCCCUCUCGAUUUCAUCUCGGGGUCCGGAGAUCUAUUGAAAUAGGACUAGGGUUGGUACAUGCGAAUGAUACUCGGCGGAAUGUUCAAAUGAGGCAUGCGGGAGGAUGGACUCGACUGGAGGGCGACAUGAUCGAUGGAGAAGAGGGUUGGAGAGGAAUGAGAAAUAAGCAAACGCCACAUGAUUACACUUGAACGGCUCAAAUAAACAAUAAGUUGUCUCGCUUGGCCUACAUAGUGAAAGGCUUAAUGCGCCACACGGAGCACUAACGCUCGAAUAUGGCCGGGAAAUAGGGAAACCGACAUGUGGGGCACACCCGUCGGGAUGACGUAGCGUAGAAUAGUACAAUGGAGGAGCUGGCCCACGACCUCCUCGCCACCGACAACCGUUCAUGUGGGUCGUUGGGUCCAACAACGGGGCGCAGCUCCAGCCCCGCCUCUAGACACGGCGACCACGAUGAGCGACACGCUCAUAUCGUCGCUAGACACGGUCGGUUUCAGUGUGUCGAGGGUGGUAUUAGUGCUGUGGCAUGACCAACGGUAUGUUUGGUUUGUGCCCAAGGUUGCCCCAUCAAAGCAUUGGGUAGCCAAAAUUUUGGUUGAGGUAUUGGAUGCCCAUGAUUUGGCCGACAUUGGCAAGAAAAAUGAACUAGAGUUGGCUAGACUUCAUUGGCAUGCCAAAGAAAUGGCAACCAUCCAAACAAAGACCAAUCUUUGGGUCAUGACCAAAAUUUUGGUUGAGGUAUUGGUUGCCCAUGAUUUGGCCGACAUUGGCAAGAAAAAUGAACUAGAGUUGGCUAGAGUUCAUUGGCAUGCCAAAGAAAUGGCAACCAUCCAAACAAAGACCAAUCUUUGGGUCAUGACCAAAAUUUUGGUUGAGGUAUUGGUUGCCCAUGAUUUGGCCGACAUUGGCAAGAAAAAUGAACUAGAGUUGGCUAGAGUUCAUUGGCAUGCCAAAGAAAUGGCAACCAUCCAAACAAAGACCAAUCUUUGGGUCAUGACCAAAAUUUUGGUUGAGGUAUUGGUUGCCCAUGAUUUGGCCGACAUUGGCAAGAAAAAUGAACUAGAGUUGGCUAGAGUUCAUUGGCAUGCCAAAAAAAUGGCAACCAUCCAAACAAAGACCAAUCUUUGGGUCAUGACCAAAAUUUUGGUAAGGUGCACUUUGGCCACAAUCCAAACACACCCCAACACCCGGCUCGUCGAGGAUGNNNNNNNNNNUGGUUGCCCAUGAUUUGGCCGACAUUGGCAAGAAAAAUGAACUAGAGUUGGCUAGAGUUCAUUGGCAUGCCAAAGAAAUGGCAACCAUCCAAACAAAGACCAAUCUUUGGGUCAUGACCAAAAUUUUGGUUGAGGUAUUGGUUGCCCAUGAUUUGGCCGACAUUGACAAGAAAAAUGAACUACAGUUGGCUCGAGUUCAUUGGCAUGCCAAAAAAUGGCAACCAUCCAAACAAAGACCAAUAUUUGGGUCAUGACCAAAAUUUUGGUAAGGUGCACUUUGGCCACAAUCCAAACACACCCCAACACCCGUCUCAUAGAGGAUGCACGGGGUGCCGCGACGCAUCCGCAGAGUGGUGUAGCGCGGCCAACUGCAUCCUCUGGACCUAAGACCAUGCCGGGUCGUCUUGCUUUUUCAAUGACAUGCGGGGAUCACAUUUGAGCAAAGGGCAUCUCCAACGUUGCCACGACCGCAGCUGACUACCCUGGCACACGAAAGCCCUCGUCCCUCGUGUUGUCGUGCGGCGUGUUCCCAGCUGGCGCCAGCUGCCCGCAUUCAUGUCAUCCAUUCAUAUGUCGUCGUUAAGAGGCUCGGUGCCCGAGGAAUCAACUCCGGCGACUUAAUGACGCACCCGGACGCUUGGCCUCACCGGAAUGCGCUACUUAAAGCGGCAACGCCCAGCUAACCUCCACACCAUAGCGCAUCGUCCUCCUACCUGGCACCACAUCCGCCAUGACCGCUAGUGCGAACGCUCUGCGGGAGAGCUUGUCUUCGAGGAUGAAGCUCGAGGUUGCCGCCCUCGCUCAAGUCGCCUCUCGCGACGCAAUAGCAGCGUAGCCGGACGCGGACAUGACCGCACAAGCGGUGGCCACGCUGGCGGACGAUGACAGGAGCACCGUCAGCCACGUGUCCUACUUGCUGCCAUCCAACGUCAGGCACCGCCGAGGUCGAGGACUCCUCCGAGGAUGGGUAGGGCAUGGGAUGCGGCAGGGCAUUGAUGACCCGCGAGUAUACGGGAUAGUUGUAGCCUCUUUCCAUAAUUAAGAGUGUCGAACCCAAUGAGGAGCUAAAGGUAGAACAAAUACUCUCUCAAGUCCUAUCGUCCACUGAUACGACUCUACGCACGCUUGACGUUCGCUUUACCUAGAACAAGUAUGAAACUAGAAGUACUUUGUAGGUGUGAUAGGAUAGGUUUGCAAGAUAAUAAAGAGCACGUAAACAUAAACUAGGGGCUGUUUAGAUAAAGAUGCAAUAAAGUAAGUAUAGCGAGUGUGGAAAAGUGGUGGUAGGAGUUGUGAAAUUGUCCCUAAGAAUUUGACUACUUUACUAGACCGGUAAUCACUAUUGCAAUUCUAUUUGAGGGAGAGGCAUAAGCUAACAUACUU